GUGAUGAGAGCACAAAAGUGCAAUCGUCAUACCAUUUUAAUUAGUAUUAUAGCUAAUCAUUAAUAAUAAAAUUAACUAAUUAACGUUGUAUUUGUGUUUGAGUGCAAGUAAUCCAAGAAACCCAAUAACAUUGGGUUUGAGCCCAAUGCCCGGCAGCCCGAGCUCAAGUCAAGCCAACAUCUUCACGUGAUGGAGCUCAGUCCACGAUGCAGCCAGCUUUCCAAAAUCACCUUCCAUCCACGCGCUCGUUCCAUGCAUGUGGCUUCCAGAUGCAACAUCCCAAGCCGUCCGUGAGGAGUUUUCCCACCGCGUGCCAGAUCCCAUUCCAUGCGUAGCACCAUAACCCAUCUGCGAAGCCAAGUCCCAUCUAGUCGUUUCUGUGCAUCCCCUGCCUCUUGAUUCUCCUCCUGAAAUCCCUGCAUCGCGUCCCCCUCUUGGCCCAAAGAAGGAAGUUCACAGCCUCCUCCAAGCGGUCCCACGGCGCCCUCCAAGUGAUCCCGCGGCCAGCCAAUCUUCCAUUCCCGAUUCACUCCAUCCGUGAUCCAACCAGCAUCAAGCCGCCCGUCUCAGCCUCCCAUCUCAUCUUCUUCCGUCCGCACAUCAACCUCCCGUCGAUCCCGCUGUGGCCAACCGUGAAGCCUUCCAGAUUCCAUCCGCGACCCAGCUGCUCGUGAAGCCCCGUGAUCAGUGUCCCUCCUCCGUGAUGCAGCAGCACACGAUCCUCCCGGCUUCUUCCGCUCGACCCAACGCAUUCACAACAACCUCCCACGCCCGAUUGCAAGCCGCAUUCUCCCAGCAUCCCACGCUUCAAGCCUCCGAGUCCGCUUCUUCCACGAGCCCCAGCUUCUUCCUCCCGUCGAUCACGACCCCAGCUCCAUUCCGUCUCCUUCGCGUCUGCAAGCAUCCCGUAAUCCAGCCGCAUCUGCACCAGAUCAGCAUUUCAGCCUCCCACGGCCGAUUUCAAGCCAUGAUCUUAGCGUCCAAAGCUUCCGAAGUCCAUCCGCCUCUUCCGUGAUGCAGCAGUGCACGAGCCUCCGCUCUCCCAGCCUUCCACGAAGCACCAUGUCUCCUCUGCAAUCAAAUCUCCAGCGAUCACGCGCCCGUCCGCAUUCAUCUGCCCCGGAUCAUGCAUCCAUGAGCGAUCACGCGUCCGUUACCCCUCCAUCAGGGGAUUUGUCGCUGUCCAUUAGGGGGUGGGCGACCUAUUUAAGGAGAGGAGGAGGGGAAGAAAAGGGAGCUCUCGGCUGAAGGAGGUGCACUCGGUUGGGGCCAAGAAAUAGGGGAAGAAGGUUCGAUUUGGGAGAGAAGAGAAAGAGAAAAAAAAAGGGAAGAAACAGAGCAUGGCUCUAUUUCGUUUGAAAAGAAGAAUAAAAAAUUAGGAAAAAAAGAAACGGGAGAUUUCUAUUUGAUUUUCUUUUAGUCCUUGUUUUCUUUUUUUUAUUUGUAGAAGAAAAGAAGCAUUAGGCUUCAUCUUCAAUUUUUUUACUUCUGUAAUCAUUUCUAGUUACGAAAUUUUUAAUUUUUAUUUUAUGAAAUCCGUGUCUAAGUUUCAGUUCAAUUUCUGCAAUUUAUUUUAUGCAUUUUGAAAUUCUUAGUUUUAAGAUAACUCUAAAAUUUUUCUUUGCUAUUCGAUCUGCAGUUUUCAUUUAUAUUAUGUCUUUAGGAAUCGAUCCCUACUCUGCAUUAGAAUUCAAUUGCAAGUUUUCUUUCUCUCCUUUGUUUAUUUUCAAAUAGAAAACAUUCUCUGAUAGACUAGAGAAUCAUUCCACAUCCCCGAAGUAAUGUUUUUUUCUUUUAUCAUUCAAAAAUCGAUUUCGAAUCCGAGUGAACGUUUUAAUUUUUAUGCAACUCCAAUCGCCUCCCUGUGGAUCAACCUCUUACGACCACUAUUCUUCGAGUAGAAAAUGUAAGAGUAAAAUUAAAUUAAACUUUGUUUGUCAAUUCUAACAACGAUCUGUUUAGCAUAUUUUUAGGUAAACAUGAAUCGGACAACAGGCUCCAUGAGUUAUGCGAGGCGUAGAGCUGAAUUCGUAAGUUUUUUUGAAACUCUUUAAAUUUAUCUUAAAUUAUUCUAUCAUAUAGCAUGUAUACUCUUUAAAUAUAAUUUUUGUUGUAGAUGGAUGAUAAUGGGAGGGAGCCUGGUAGGGUGGAGUUUUAUAAGAUGACUCACACCCACCGAGAUGGCAGCUUUGUUCGGAAGGAGUCAAGAGAUAUAGUUAUAUGUAUUCAUCUUUGACUUGUGUUGUAUUUUUUUUGUUUUAUUAUUGGCAUAUAUUAAUUUAACUUUUUCUUUUGAGAGAUAUAGGAUAAGACAACUGAUGAUCCAAAGAUUGAUUCAUAGAUUGAUUUUGAUGAUCACAAAAUNNNNNNNNNNNNNNNNNNNNCAACAACAACAAAUCUUAUUUCAGAGCGCAUUGGGAGUCAUCAUCAUCCGACGCGACCAGUCAUAUUGAAGCUCAAGUGCUCGCUAAAUUGAUGGGCCCAAAGCGUUAUAGUCGAGUGAGGGGUUACGGCGUUGGAGUUAUCCUCACUUAGUUUUCUUCAGUGGGCACGUAUACAAGAAAUACCAGAGAAGGUAGUAACACUGCAGAAGUUUGUCAUCUUCAAGCAACUAUUAAAGAGCUAAAGCAGAACCAAGCAAAUUUGCAGUCUCAACUUGCGAAUAUUUCAUCUAUGUUACAACGAUUUCUUCCUUCUCAAGUAAAUAACUAUAUAUAUUUGAAUACUUUACAUAUUAUCAAUUAUAAUAUAUGAGUUCAUGUAUCACAUUAUUCCUAACUUCUAAGAUUUCUUCUUUUUUUUUUUGCAGAUUUCUGAUACUUCAAACGCUCGUAGAGAUGAUGAUGAUGGAGCUGAAUCCCGUCCUUGAUGCCUUCUAGACUAUUUUUUAUGAGUUUGAUAUGUAUAUGUUUCUUAUUUUUCAUAGUACAUUGUAAUUCUAAACUUAUUAAGCAAAUUUUUAAUCAAAUAUGACAAUAUUCAUAUUUCGAAUGAUCUGAAUGUUUGUGUCAAUGUAUCAAUGUAAUACAGGUUUAUAUUGUUAUAAUGCAUGUUUUAUAAUGUGUGUUUUAUAAUAUGAAUUGGUACUUUUAUUUUUUAAAAAAAUACAAUUUCUGAUGCUUUUAAGCGUCAGUAAAAGACGUCGUGGCACAGCCCCGGCACGCUUAUACCGAUGCUUCAAACGCUUACGUUUGCGACAGAAAAUGCGGAUCUCCUGAUGCUUCAAAGCGUCGGCAAUUUUCGACGCUUUAAAGUGUCAGGAAAAAUCGGAAGAAAACCGUGAGGAAUUUGUCCGUCGGGUUAUCGCCGACGCUUUUUAAGCGUUGGCAAAUUCCGAUUUUUGCCAACGCUUUUGUCCUGAAUCGGCAAAAAGUUUUGCCAUUCUGGUAUCGCCGACGCUUUGGCGACGUUUCGCGUUGCAUCGGCGGUACUUUAGCCUAUGCUUAUAACGUCGCUAAAGGUCCCAAGAAGCGUCGGGAUAAGUUGGUUUUCCUAUAGUGGCAGGCUGUUGUUUUGUUCUUUCCCUUCGUCCGCAAAACUUCUCAUGCAGAGACCACACGUCGGGCCUAGGUCCACAAAGCUUUAGCCAUUUCAGGACAACCAACCAUGGACCAAGAGCCAACCAUGAGAGAGGACGGGACAGGUUUGGUAGGACGUGGGGCCAUCGUUCCCUUUUGUCACGCGAGGGUGUGCAACCGGGACGGCAUCAUACGACGGUUGGGGGGGGGGGGGGGGGGGUAUACAUGCCCCUCGUAAUUUUACGACGGUCGUAAAAUUCGUAAAUACCCUCAUAAUUUAAGUAUAAUUUUUUUAACACCGUUAGAACAACCAUUGUAUUAUGGGUAUUUGUACAAUAAUAGAGUUUUACGAGGGUAUACAUGCAAAUAUCAAUUUUGGAAAGGUAUUCACGUCCGAUAUUAGAAGGGUAUCCAUGCAAAAAAUCCUUUCAAUUAUUGAGUAUUUUAUAUUAGUUUAUUUAAAUAAUUGAUUAAAAUUAUUUUGAGACUAUUAUAUCUAUUAUUUAAUGUUGUUUGAAAUGCUGGAUAUUGAAAUAUUCUUAUUGCUUAUCAAUUAUAAAGGAUAUAUAUCAAAUUGAUUUGGUAGUCACCAAAGUGGCCCAAUUACCUUGAUAUUAUGGUGGAGUUGAUUAAGCAUUACGGUUUGCCAUCAUAAGAUGAUAAAUUAGCCCAAAGGCAAUUUAUUAAAGAUGGAAGGUUACUAUAUCGUAUUGUUCAUUAUACCUAAAGGUAGAUGUCAAUUCAAUAUUAGUAAUAUGAAGGCAAUUUAAGUGAAUAAAGGAACAUCACUUAUUGAGUGAAUCACUAGCAUGUCAUUAUCCUAACCCAAAGGUAGGAUAUGAUGAUGCACUAGAUCAUUCAUCAAACUUAUUAAGUGAAUCACUAGCAUGUUAUAAUCUCUUACCCAAAGGUGGGAUGUGGCGAUGCAAUAGAUUGCUUAUACGAUUGCUUAUAGAGUGAAUCGAUCGAAUGUCAUUUUUUUGACCCAAAGGUGGGAUGUGAUGAUGCACUAGAUUGCUCAAUAGUGUUUUAUAUGUAAUAAGUCUGAAUUAAGGAUAACUUAUAGCAUGGAUUUGUGUGAUUUCAUUGUGGCUCAAGCACUUCCAAGAAACAUGUCCGACAUUCCAGAAUUGAAUGGUUCCAAUUUUUCUGAAUGGCAUGAGCAAAUACUAAUUACAUUGGGAAGUUUAGAUUUGGACAUGUGCCUACGAAUUGUUGAGCCUACCAAACCCACUACAGAAAGUUCUCCUAAAGAGAAAACUCUUUAUGAAAUUAGGAGCGUUCCAAGCGCCCAAGCCUUAUGAUCAUGAAGAGCAAAAUUACGAAGAAUAUUCACAAAUCAGUUUCUACUAACACCAAGGCUCGUAAAUUCUUGACAUUUAUUGAGCAACAAUUUAAAGCUUCUAACAAAGCGGUUGUAGGGACUCUUAUGGCCACCUUAACAACUAAAAGGUAUGAUGGGUUAAGUGGUGUGCGUGCACACAUUAUGAAAAUGCAUGACUUGGCUGAACAACUUAGGCCCUGUUUAGGGGAGUUUUUGGAGGGCCAAAAAGCACUUUCUGGCCUUCCAAAAGUACUUUCAGAUAAAAAAUGGUAUUUGGUAAAAUUUUCGAAAAGCUGUUUCAGCUUUUGCGGGAAGCUGAAAACAGCUUUUGGGGAGAAGCUCCAAUUUGGAGCUUUUCAAAAAUGCUGUUUUCAGCUUUGUUGGGAAGCUAUUUUUUGGACCAAAAUAUCCCAUUUAAAUCUUACUUUUUUCCCCUAAAACUCUCAUCCCGCCUCUUCCUCUCUCACCCAUCCCCUUCCCCUCUCUCUCUAUCUUCUUCUUCCUCUCAACGCCGCCGUCACUGUUCCUUCUUCCUCUUCUUUUUUUGUUUUUUUUUUUGUUUGUUUUGGGAGCUCGUGGUUACCCAUGGUGGUAGCCACCAUGCCGGCUACCACCCAUGGCCGGCGACCCCUAUAUAUUUCAAUGAAAUAAAAUAAUAAAUAAAUAUAACUAAAUAAAAUAAAUUAAAAAACUAAUGAGUGAGUGGAAAAUAAUCUGAUCUAAAUAAAUAAUAAAUAAUAUUAGUAAUUAUUUAACCAAUUUUGUCACCUAGCUAGAAAAUUUAUUAGAGAGAUAAAUGGUUAUUAGAAGGAUGAAAAAUUAAUUUACACUAAUAAUUAUAAUAUUUUAUAUAUUUAUUAUUGUAUUAUACUAUAAAUAUAAUAUUAUAUUACAUUACAUCAUAAUAUAUUUAUAUUGAUAUGUUAUGUUAAAUAAUUUAAUAUUAUAUUAAAUUAUUAUUCUAUAAUACAUAAUGUUAUAGUACUAUAUUAUAAUAAUAUUAUAUUACAUUACAUUAAUAUUAUACUAUAUCAUAUAUUUAUGUAUUAAUAUAUAUUAUAUUUUAUUAUGCUCUGUUGUAUAAUACUGGUAAUGUCCUUUAUGGUCAUUUUGUCACACAAAAGUACUUUCUCAGUUUGUUUACCAAACACAUGUUAAAGUACCACAGCACUUUAGAAAUGUAGUUACCAAACAGCAAACAGCUUUUUAUAAACGCUCUGCUUCAGACAGCUCUACUUCCAACAGCUCUACGUUCAAAAUCUCUACUACUAACAGCUCUCCCAAACAUGGCCUUAAUUUAAUGAAUAUGUACUAUUUCAGAGCCCUUUUUGGUGCAAUUCGUUCUCAACUCUCUUCCUCUGCAGUUUGGUCCAUUUAAGUUCAAUUAUAGUAGACAAAGGGUAAGUGGACCAUGAAUGAACUUAAACUGUGAUGUGUGUGCAAGGGGAAGAGAGAUUACAAAGAGAAAGACUGCAAUCUGUCCACAUCAUGUCACAAGGUCAUAAAGGUAAAUGACAUGGAAAAGGAAAAUCUAAAAGAAAAGAGCCACCAAAAAAUGAUACACAGUCUACUGCAUCUAACAGUGCAGAUAAGAAAACUGUGGUAUGUUUCUUCUAUAAAAAAAAGGGACAUAUGAAUAAGGAUUAUCGAAAGCAUAAGGCAUGACUUGAAGAGAGGUAAUUUUCUUUCAUUAGUGUGUUUUGAAGCCAAUUUAACUGACAUACCUUCUAAUACUUAGUGGUUAGAUUUUGGUACCACAAUUCAUGUGUGUAAUCCUAUGCAGGAAUUUCUGACAACCCACAGGCCACACAGAAAUGAGAAAACCAUUUUUACGGGGAAUAAAUUUGAAGCUGAAAUAAAUGCUAUUGGAACCUACAUACUUGUUUCUGAUUCUAGUUUUUGUUUAGAUUUACCAAAGACAUUAUGUUCCUUCUAUCUCCAAAAACAUAAAUUCCUUGUCUCGCCUUGAUGUAGAAGGACAUACUUUUGAAUUCAAGAAUAAAACCUUCUCUAUCAUGAAAAACAAUGUUUCUGUUGGUAGUGAAAUUUUAUGUGAUGGUUUGUACAAAAUAAACCUCGAUACAUUAUUUUCUCAUUCGCUUCUCACCCUGCAUGUAAAUAUGAAUGUUGGCACCAAGCGUAGUCAUGAAACUGAAACUUCAUUGAGGUUGUGACAUAAAAGGUUAGGUCACAUCUCGAAAGAGAGGCUUGAAAGAUUAGUAAAGGAUGGAGUUUUACAAACUCUUCACUUUACGGACUUCAGUAUUUGUAUAGAUUGCAUUAAGGAAAAGCAAACUAAAAGUACCAAGAAAAAUGCCACAAGAAGUUCGAUACUACUUGAAGUGAUACAUAUAGAUAUAUGUGGACCAUGUUCUCCUUAAUCCAUACCCGGAGACAAAUAUUCCAUCACCUUUAUUGAUGACUUCUCACGUUAUUGUUAUGUUUAUCUAAUUAAGAAAAAAUCUCAAGUCUUGGAUGCUUUUAAGGUUUUCAAAGCAGAGGUUAAGAAAUAACUAGAUAAACAAAUAAAAGUUGUGAGAUCAGAUAGAGGUCAUGAAUAAUAUAAAAAAUAUGAUGAGAAUGGUCGCAACAUGGGACCAUUUGCUAGAUUUCUUUAGGAACAUGGUAUCGUGGCUCAAUAUACAAUGUCUGAAAUGCCUCAGCAGAAUAGUGUAGCUGAAAGGCAUAGUCGUACCAUAUUGGAUAUGACAAGAUAUAUGAUUAGUGACUACAUUACCUGAAUUUUUGUGGGGUAAAGCCAUAAAGACUGCGAUGUAUAUUUUAAACCGGAUUCCUACUAAGGUUGUUCCCACAACCCCUUAUGUAUUUUAGGUGGGAAGGAAACCGAGUUUAAACCAUAUACAUAUAUGAGGUUGUCCAAGCCGAAACAAGGCUUUACAGUCCACAUGAAAGAAAAUAUACUGCCACAAUUUAAAGACCAAAAUAACUCAUUAGAACAUCUUUAUCACAAAGUAGACCAUCAGUAGACAGAAUAUAGAUAAAAAUAAUUUACACUUUCAGAAAAAAGAUCUUGUAACAACAAAACAAUCAACACCACUUUUGUGAAACCCAGUGGACUAAGUCUGGUCCAUAUGACCGGCCCAGCCCAAAGGCAAUAGGAAGGAAGACUCUGGCUGGAGUCUUCUUCCUCCUCUCCGAUCGCAAUGAUGAUUCCUCUCCUAUUGUGUUGAAGAUGAAGGGUUCAUCGCAAUCAUGAUACCGUCAGAUAAGGCUAGGAAAAAUUUAUUUAUAGAGUUCCUCCUCCUUCCUUCGAGUUCAUCGAGAUCGAGCUGCCGACUAGAAGUUUCUCCUCCAUUCGUCUUCCUCAACUUGUCGCCGGAAGGGGACGCUGGACCACCUCGCCGGACCGAGGCUUGGAUCUAUUAGUUGGAUCGCAUUUGCAAAGUAAGUAAUGAUCUACCUUUUCUAGAUUUUUUUUAUUUAUAUAAUAUUAUUUUUACAUCGAAUAAAUUGUUAAUGGAUUUAUAUGUGAUUUAUGAAUUUUUCGAGAUGGUGAUUUGAAUGAAAUAUAGGUAUGUGAAUUGGAGUAAUAUUUUUUGGACUAUUAUUACAUUUACGGUUCUUGCAUCAUAUAUGCAGAUUUUGAUCAGAUUAUGAUACAUUUAUUAUUUUACAAAAAGAACUUUGAUGUAUAUCAGAUUUGAAACUCUCAAUCUGACUAUGUUCUUUCUAGAUCCUACCUAUUAGUGGUUAUGCAUUAGCAAUGCUAGCCCCACACAGGAUAUAAAUGUGGUAUUCUUGUCCACUCCGCAAGGCAUAAGUGCGGUAUUCUGGCUCACUCCGCAGGGUAUAAUGCGGCAUUUUGGCCUCCUCUGCAGGAUAUAAGUGCGGUCCAGUUUCUAGCCUAGCCACAAGAUAUAAGUGUGGCCAUAGUUAAAGACUGUUGAGUUAAAUAUGAUAAAUUUCGAAUCAAAUUUAUGAUUAUGUAUACGGAUAUUUGAAAGAUACGGAUUUCAAUAGAUUUGUGUUUUGAAACUAAAUUGAUUAUAUCUUUAUAUUGAUUUAUCGUAAUUUGUAUUUAUAUUUUAUAUUAUUAUUGAAUUGUCUAGUUAUGGUAUUCAUAACUUACUAGGCUAUCUAACUAAUUAUACGGUUUUCUACUAUUUUUAUAGAUCCAAAGAAUUAGCUCAAUCGAAAUUUUACAACAUGGAAGAGUGACUAGAAGAAUUGUGGCACGAAUUAUCUUAACUUAAAAUUUAUUUAAAUUGAUGCAUUACCUUAGACUAAUAUUGAAAUUGUGAGACAUUGUAGGUUGAGUUAGUUGAUGAAAAAAAGAUUGCAUAUUAUUGAUUAAAUUAUUUUUACCGCCUGAUUUUGAUAUCAUGAUGAGAUGUCUUACAUAUUUCGUGAGGAGAAUUCACUACGAGUGUGCGGCUUGGAUCGGAAGCGUGACACCUUAUUAAAUAAAAGCCAUAAGCGCAAUGGCCAGCAACAUGAUCUGAUAUAUAUUAAAAGAAAACUCUGACGUUUCCUUUCAGGAAUUCUAUUUGAACCAUAAUCAAUAAAAAAAAAAAGAUCGACUAUUCUCUGUACAGCUUACAAUCUCAAAAAGCAUUGUUUUUUUCUUUUUAUAGCCAUAGGGAAAGAUACAAUGUUCAGAUUAUGAAAGGCUUCACAUGUAACAAAACCAAAAAGGCCCCAAAUGUACAAGAUGUGAGACACGGUACCUAAACCCCUACUACAUCAGCAGCACAAACCCAAAACAAAGAGUGACCACAGCAGAUACUGGGAGGAGGUCCUUCUCUAGUAGCAAACCAGGGAACUACCUUACAUGUACAGAGGUCAGAACAAACGCACACCUGAACCUAGGUCCAGCAGAAGCCCAAAAUAAAGCAAAAAACACAUCAGAAAUGGACGAGAUGCUACUCUAGCAGCAAAUUAGGGAACAGCUCUACAUGUACAGAGGUCGGAACAGACACCUGAAUCAAAGGCCCAGCAGAAACUUGGAUGAAAGAGGAAGAACAGCAACAGAAUCCUCAGUCCAAAUUGAGCUAUAAGCUGGCAGGGCGCCAAGGAAAUUAAGAAGGCAGCAAAAUUACUGACUUAGCAGCAGACGGGGCAGACGGGGCAGGAAAAAUAUCAUCAGAAUGAUGAAUCUCCUCCAAAAUUUUUCUCACUUCAAUCCGUGAAACGAAUUGUUUCACUUAUCGCAGCGACAUCAGUGUGCUCUUCUGAGUGUCCUUCUUGGCUGGCACCUUCGUGGUUCUCUCCAGAUUUUUUUUCACAACCCUUUCGAUCUCAUCAAUAGAGCUCGACAGCUUCUUCUCAUAUUCAAUUGGGUUUGAAUAGUGGGGUGCCUGAUUGGUAAAAACAGUUGCAGUCUGCUGUGGCAGCUCCGAUGAAGAAAGUGAACUGGGAGAGGAGGAUGUCUUCACUGGAUCAUUAAUUGAGGUCGACAACUUCUUUGCAUGCUCAGUAGGGUUCAAAUCAUCAGGUGCUAGAUCGGUAGAAACAAGUAUGGUCUGGGGUGGGUGGGAAGAAGAACAUGUCUGCAGUGGACGUUCAAUUGAGCAUGAUGGCUUCAUCUCAUACUCAGUAGGCUUCGAAUCAUCAGGUGCCAGAUUGCUGGAAACAGAUGUGGUCUGUCGUGAGUGCUCAGCAGGAGGAAGUGAACUGGAAGAGGAAGAUGCCUGCAGUGGAUGCUCAAUUGGAGAAGCAGAGGUAAAACUUGUGAACGUCGGAAUUGAGGAGGUAUCAGAAAUAUCAGACGGGAGGAAUUGGUUGACUGGAGUCUGUUCAGAAACACUUGGUUCAUGUCGAGUCCGUUCAGAAUCACUUGGCUCCUGCAGCAAGGGAUUUGUGGAUAUUGUCGGUUGGGGAGUUGCUUCAGGAUCAACGUCCCUCUGCUGAGCAUUCUGCUGAGCCCGAGCUGCUCGCAAACGGCUCCUUCUCCUCUCCAAAGCCUAAUAAAUUUCAAAAACAAAUCAAAAAUCUAGUCUGUGUAAAAUUCAUCAGGAAGAAAAACGGUGGUAAUAGUGAGACAAUAAAGCUGACAUGAAUUAAAUCAAUAUUUCAUUCAUAGCUCUUCAGCUUCAAUUCUGAAAUUAACAAAAAUAAUACUACAUGUAAGACAUCUCUGCCAAGUAUGUCCGAAAAUGGAUGAUCAAAAAAUUACUUGAAAAAACAGAAUAAAUUUAAUCAAAACAGCAAGUCGAUAAACAUAAUGCCAAGUGAGUACAAGACACCCUUUCAAGAUGAAGAGCCGCAUAUAUUCCUUUAAAACAGAUUGAUCUACUCAAGAACAACAGCUACUUAAAAGAUAUCAAUAAAAUAGUCAAUUAUUAAAAGUGUAUAACAAAAUGAAAUUCUGAAACUCAAAAUGUGAUUACUCACUUCAACUGUAAAGUAGUGCACUUCUAGGAUUCAAAGCAGUUGUCAUAAAGAAGAACUAUGACAUCAAGAAUUAUGUCCAGCUAUUACUUGUCCAAGUUCACUAAUAUACCUAGAAUGCUUCAAGGGCUUUCUGACAAGCUGAUCUAAUUUGUACGAAAACAAUUUUAGAAAAAGGAGAAGAUCAAAGCAAAAUGGACUGCUAACUUUAAUCAAAGCAUACAGAAGUGGAUUAGGAGUCAAAACUAAAAACUUUGGUUCUCAUGCUACUACUUAAUAAAUACAUGUGCAAUUAUUAAAGCAGGACAAGAUAGAAAAAUUCAUACAACAUCAAAUUUGCAGAGGAAUCAUGCAAUUAUUAAAGCAGGACAUGAGAGAGGGCUUUGUGUGGCGUCUUUGUAAGUAGAGAAACAAAUUUUGCUCUUUUCGGCCUUUAUUUUCUUACUAAAACAAGUUUGGUUCUCUCUCCAAUAUUUGUUCUUCCCUUCCACUAUUUUUCCUUGUUUUGAUUAAAAUUUGUUUUGGAUCCUGGACCAGCUCAUUUGAUCUACAUAAAAAAAAAAGUGCCAUUCUACAAUCAGAGGGGUCAAUUCAAUCACCAAUAUAAUGAUCCUAUGGUGCUCUCUAGUCAGUGAAAAACCACCAAUUUUUUCAAUGAACAGAAGAGAAUAUUCCAUAAAGUGGUCGUAAAAUGAAAAUGAAAAAUAAGUUCCCACAUCCCAUGUUGACCCCAAACCAGACAAAUACCAUGUUUCCAUUCGAGGAUCACGGACUACUCAUGUAAUAAUCCUAUCAAAAGAUCAAAGAAAACAACCAAUAGAAAAAAGUCGACUAAAAAUGACAUGUAGUAACAAAGAUGUGUAAAAUUCUGGUUUUCCUACUUCAAACUCAGAUAACACCAAAGUCUCUGUGCAAGCACUCCAGCAUACUCAUUGAAUAAUGUAUUAUAAUAUUUUAAAUGGGAGAAAUUUACUUGCUUCUGUUCCUUCAGAAAAAGUAAAGAGACAUUCCAAAAGUUCUUCACCAUUUGAACAUUAUUCAUCAAUUAAAAAGAAUAAACCACGCAUUGAUCCAUCAUAGCAGUAACAAUAUUCCAAAAUUCAUCAAACUCAAAAUUGAAGAGGCCACAUGCAAUAGACAAUAAUCGGUCCCAAUCUUCCAUCAAGUUGAGAAAACUUUUUUGGAGCAAUAUCAUUUUCAGGGUAUCUUUUCAAUCAAUGACUCAGAUUGUGGAAAAAAAAAACAUACAAGCCACAUAUGUCUAUCAUGAUAUUAAUGAUCUUCACUCAUUCAUGAGACAAAGAUUUGCAUAUUGAUGCAGCUUUAAUUAAUCAACAGAAGUUAAAGAAAUAAACCACAUAGUUCAUGAUGGUAUGCAGUAAAUUAGAACUUCAAGCAUGGCAACAGAGACGACAUAAAUACCAAACCAGUCACUGAAUUGAAUUCAAUAAGAAAACAAGAGGUGCCGAAGAAAAUAGAUAUCCAAGCAAGUCGAUCGUUCUCCUGAUUGCUCUAGAUGUAAGAACACGAGUAGGCAACUAAAUUUCAGACAACUGUCAAGAAAGCAUAUAAAUUCCCAUCUAUUCAUCCGGUUACAGAUUGCACUGCCGAUACUCUGAUCACCGGAUAAAAUAAACAACCCACGGAACAAAAUAAAACUCUAAGUAUGAGCUAGAAGAUUCUAGAAAUGCAUGAAAACGCCACAUUACAGAGCAUCGUCAUCUGAGGAACUAAUAAUUUCCAAGAAGGUAUAUUCUAAUCGUUUAAAAAAUAGAAAUGAAGAGUCCGAAACUUCCAAAGACACAAGCAGCACCCGUCUAUUGAGGAUCUGUUAACCAUUCCAUCGUUUCAAGAAGUAAAUUCCACGAAAACGAUCAUAAAUCUUCUGAAAUGGAAAAAGAAAGCCAGCCGAUCCCAUCAAAAAAGAAAAGACCUCUUACUAUGAAUCAAAGAACAGGCUCAAAAUGGGGCGGGGAGAAAUAUCCUUACGUUGACGAUGAGGGUGAUGUCCCGAAGAGGCGUCCGAGGGUACCAUGUCGGCAGAGGACUCUUCCUCCUCCGAGUCACGGCCCACGGUGGGAUGUUCUCCUUCCCAUCCGCGAACCGCCGGCUCGGGACCCGCCUCGGCCCUGCCUCUGUCACCGGCGACGCUCCCCUCCGGAUAAAGAAGCCACCACCGAUCCCCCCCGCUGCCGCCCCUCCUCCCCGCACAGGCCAGUUCCUCGCCUCCGGCAUCGCGACCUUCGAAUCCCAUUCCAGCACCAAAAGAUCACCCAAAAAAACACAAAGAAUGGCAAAAAAUCCCAAGAAAUGAUCUAAGAAUAUUCCAUUUCUCACCGGAACUAGCUUCGGAUUCUUCUUCCUUCUUCUUCUCUGAUCUCUUCGGCUUCGGAUUCUUCUUGGUCUCAGGGAAGGAAGAGGGGUGUGGGGCUAGCGAUCCACAUGGAGGCGUGGAUCCGCAGCCGACGGGGGAUAAUUCGAAUUUAAAGAAUCGGGGGAGGGGGGGAGUUUGGGGGUUUCGGGCGGUGAGCGGACUCGAAAAGUGUGUUCGGCUAUGAUGGUGGGGUAAUAGUUACCGUGGUGGUGCAUUCCUCCUGGUUUCAAGUUUGAAAAUUUUAGUACCUCUGACGAUCGGAUGGUUGGAUUUGAGCAUGGGUUGAUAAGAACUAACGGAGGACGGUGCCCUACGAAUGUCUUAAAUGGUUCCGACGGUUCAGUUGCGAUUAGUGGUGAUGGGAUCCAGCAAUCGGCAGUCGUGGUCACUCUUUAGUAAUUACAAAAAUAAAAAAAAAUAUUUCCUCAAUAAAAUGCAAAGAAAAGAUGAAACAUUUUUUACCAUCAAAAAAUUGCGGUACAUGUCUCCUCUCCGAUCUCAUAUUUGGAAAGAAUUAAUCAAUUUUUUAGGAGGCAGUAGCCCAAUGAUUGUAAUGUCUUUUUUUUUUUAUAAACAUUGCAUGUCUUAUUCCAAUUGCAAAUAUUUCUAGUGUUCAUACUAACCUUUCUUUACUGUUUUCUUUUAAAAUGUGUGUAACUUUAAACUUGCCUUUCGAUUUUCUUUUAUUUGUAUAUUGUAAUGCAAGUUGCACGUAUUUACUUGUAAUUUGUUUUUUCUUUUUUUCUGUGGUGGCUAAUGAUUAUUAUUGUUGCCUAAUUUUCCCAAAGCAAAAGGACAAGGGCUUUUUUUUUUUUGGUACUUAGGUAGCUCACGUCAGCUUGGCGUGAGUUCUACCCUUGUGUCAAAAGAAAUAAAAGUACACAAAGGUAGGGAGCAGGAAUAGUCCCUAUCCAUAAAACAUCUCCGGAGUGAUGAAUAGCAAAAGAGGCGGUCAGUCUGCUGCCGUAUUCGCCUUCCGAAAUACAUGGGCAACCUGAAAUGAACUACAUCCAGCCACCAAACUCUGGAUGUAUCUGAGUAGAAGAUGGCCAUCGUCCUCUUUUGAAUUUGUACAAAAUGAAUCUCAGCCAUAACCUUCUUUCCUCAAAAACUAUAAUUGAGUUAUUAUCUGUAUAUCUAUAAACUUUCCACAGAUCUUUUUUCCCAAAUCUUACCAUGUAAACUAACAUGUUUAUUUAUAGUGUAAUUUAGGAUAAUCAUCAAACUGAUCAUGCCCUUGAAUUGUAUUUCUAUGCAGGCCUUUCAAAUGCAUCCCUUCUGCCAAGAAAAUAGACUAUAUCGAUGAAAACAAUUCAUUUGAUCUAUUUUUCUGUUUUAAAGAUCUGAACCGGAUGCUACUACCGUACUAUCAAGAGUAUUAGCUGCUAAAGGUAUUUAUCCGCAUCGAAUUUUCCACUGAACUAUGGUAAUUUUACAAAUUUCAUGACCUAGGUUGUAUUUAGUACCUUGAUACAUUAGGUUGUUGACAGGAGUGAAUCAUAUAUUUGGUUCCAUCAUUUAUCCUUCAGUCAUGUGAAUUAUUAGUCCAUGUCAUUCCAGUUCUUUUUGCAACGCAUUUUCCUUUAAAUCCCAAGCUCCAUGUUUUUCCUGGUGUUCAGAGCAGGAUUGAUACUCAUGAUUCUUCAAAGUACAGCCAUGAUUCAAAUUUUUUAUUAUUUAGGCGAACAGCUUUAGAGAAAAAUUUGUCAGCUAAUGGCUUAACCUUGUCAUGUCUGAUGUCAAAAGUUUGAGAGCUUGCUGGAAUUCAGAAUGUUUAUUCUCAUGAUUUCUGCAAUCUAUUAAGCCAAGAAGCAGACAUCAUCUUUCAUUAUCCCUGACAGUAAACUCUCAUUGCAGAAUUCAAAACAGAACACUUACAUGACCGAUGUUUGCUAACAUGCGAGAAUGUAUAAAAAAUAAAAUAAGUUAACGGCCAGGAAAACUACCCUGGUAGAAGGCAACAAAAAACUUUAUUUUUCCAGAGGAUUUGCGAAGUAUUUGUUAUAUCAUGUGUAUUGUUAUACACUGUUAGCUUGCCUUGUUCCAUUCCAAAACAAUAUUCCAGUAUCAAUGUAUAUAUGAAAAUGCGUGCUAAUAGCAGAAAAUUAAAUCAAUAUUUUUCUAUAUCACUGAAUAGCAUGACACUAGGACAAAGUGUGCCUGACACAAAUUACAGUGAAGUACUGACAUAUAGAUGUUUCCACUGUUCAAUGAUUUCAUCAUCAUUCAUCUCCAUUGUCUUCAUCAGCAAGAGAGCAAAACACUAUAUACAAUGUGAAGUGUAACUCAGCUACUUCCCAUGCUUGCUAUGUGCAUUGUUUAUAACAUUCAGUCUUCUUCCUUGCAUUCCAAACAUUAGCUUCUAGUAGUACCGGUUCUGGUGCUCCUUCUGGAAAUAUUCUUGUUUCUGUGAAUCAAAUGAUCAAGAGAUAGUAUAAGAGAAAUAUUAAGACCAUACAAGGGAUAAAAAGUGAAUAGGAAGUUCUAUUAAUUUUUGUAACACAAAUUGCAGCAUAAAACUGAAGAAAAAAAAAUUACAAGCAACAAAGCAUCCAUAGGUGUUGAUUACAUUUACUGGUAGCCAAUUCAUUGGCCUAGAUUUCAGCUUGCACAAUAUCUAACUAUGCAUUAUUAGUAAUAAAUCUAUGUUUCUCAAACUCAUUCAUCUAGCUGAGGUGCAAAUAACACCAUACUUGGCAAUGUGCAGGUGGAAAAUUCCAAAUGCUUAAUGUGCUGCUCCAUAGAUGGAUACAAUGAACAUGCCCCUUCUGUUCCACCUAGAUCAAAUUAAUGAUGCAGUUUAACAUAUGAUAUAACUUUCUGAAAAUUCCCAAACAAAAGCCACGGUCAUGCCUCGUAAUGGUAAGGUGAUUUUGCUCUAACCUUAUAAACCUAUUGAAAAUGGCAAUGAUACUGACUUGAGAAAAAUCAAGUGAGGCACAACCAAUGUAAUCCAACUUUCAGUAAAUCCAGAAAUGCAAAAUGAAACUACCAAAUGCCGCAUCAAUUUCUUUUUCAAAAAAAAUGUUUGUUGUGACUAUUUCACUGAAACUUUCUUAAGUUCUAGGAUCGAACAAAUGGCAGCGCAAAGAUGUGAAUUUCUUGUAGAUGCAUCAGAAAGUACAGAAACAUAAUGCCCGAGUAAAAAAUAUUACCAAGUUAAACAAAAGCACCUAAACCCAUCUCUUCUGGGGAGCAGAAAUGUUCUUUGAUCCCUGCUGAGUGCGCCUUUUAAUUUUCUUUGAAUCGACGCUAGAAGAUGACAAUUGCCUGGGCCUUAGCACCACAGUUGAUUCAGCUCUCUGAAUCAUUUGAUUCUCUUUAAGAGGGCUAACAGAGCGCCGCAUCAGAACCCUCCCUGAAGAUCUGUUUAAGGAAGAAAAGGAUUUGGUUGAAGGUUGCCUCUGACUUUCUACUGCUGCAAAGGCUUCUUGCUGAGGACUACAAUAGGCAAUUGAUCCUUGACAGCAGAGUUCUUUGUGCUCCACAGGAGAAUCACAAUCUGAUGAUGAUGGACUAGUGCUACUCAUGUCAUAGAGAAUAUUAUUUGCCAUGACCGGGAGCUGCCUAAUAUCAGAGUUUGUAGCAGAACAAGAGGCUCUUCGAAGCCUUGUUAGUUCAAUAACCUACAUCCAUUAUUCACUUCAGUAACUUGAUGUUAACCAGAGGCAAACCUAUAACUUCCAGGUUCUGCAAAUCCAAUGAAACAGGUACCAGUUCUUUUUACCUGUUGCUCUAGAAACACCAUGUCUUUCUUCAAUUUGGAUAUUACCAUAUUUUUCCUUCUUAUGAUCUCCUCCAACUCCAUAAUCCUCUAAUCAGGAGUAAAAAGGAUAAAAUAUCAAAUUAUCUUCUCAAGUAAGAACCAACAAAAGAAGACGCACCUUAGAGUCGGCAACACUGGAUGCAUGGGCAGCAGCAGUCAGUUCCUUUAUGGUAGCAUCCUUCUCUUCACACUCGUUUCUAAGGUUGUAAAAUUCUUGCUCUGCCGCCAGUGAGCUCAACUGAAUGCAAUUGAAGUCUGGAUAUUAUGCAGGGAAAAUCACAUAACCGUGUUUAAAUGAUCAUGUAUAUUCCAUAAGCAUUAGUACAAAUAACAAUAAUAAAUAACUAACCGGCCAGUAAAUUAGUAAUUAAAUCCAACUGUACAAGAACAACUGUUCAAUAAUUCAAAACUUUCUCUACUCAGCAAAUUGUACUAGCAAAACAAAUGAUGAAGAGAACUUCUUAAAGACUAAACAAGUCUUAACCACAACUAACCAAGUCCUAUCAUGGUAUGGAAUCAGGCAGUAUGGGGUGUUCCAUACCAUACCGGUUUGGGUACCAGUACCCAGUACAGGUAGCGUAUCGAUACUCGGUACGUCAAAAACAGUUCAUACCGUACCGUACUAAUACUGUGCUAGUAUGAUACUGGUACGGAGUCCGGUAUCAAGACGGCAAAUAUAGGUCCUAUCCAUGACCAUCUUGGAAGCACAGGAUAAAAAAGAGGAUGUUUUUAGAAUGCACAACAAAACAUAAAGCAACUAAUGGAAUCCACAAUUUAAAUUCAGAUAUUACGUAGGUUGGUGACAAAUGCUCUUAACCAAAUAGCAACAUACUCGAAUGAAAAAUACCUAAGGUUCAAGAAAACUUCCGAAACAGUAAACAAGUAUAGAAUACAACCAGUGAUAUCUUAUUCCUGAUCACCUCCUGAAGAAUGGCACGGAAAUAUUUUCAGAAUGAACAGAACAUCGAACUGAAUCCAUAAUUUUUAUUUAGAUAUUAUCUAGUUGGCGACAGUUUCUCAAUAACAAAUAAAACCAUGCUAGAAUGGAAAAAAUUAAGGCUCAGAACAUAUCAAAAUAAAGCUUCCAGCAUUUUUUUUUCUUUUCAAUUAAGAGAAUGCAAGAAAUGUCAAGAAAGCAUCACCAAGCUGUUCAGAAAACUUCACCAACUAUGGAAUCCCAGUCAGUACUUUGCAAGCACAAAGGCAAAAUCCCAGUCUAAACAUGGUUUAGACCAACAAAAAGGCAAUCCAACUUUAUGUCUCUGUUUCCCCCGGACAUAAUAAUCGAUCAUCUUGGAUCUAUCAAAGAGUUUAACAGUUCAAGCACCUGAAUAUCUGCAGAAGAUGUCACACUCCAACAAAAAUCAGACAAAUCAGACAUUCGACGCUCCUCUUGCUCCGCCAUAUUCACGAUUGAGGUCUUCAGCAUCUCAUCUUUGGUAGAUUCUAUUCCAUUCAGAUCCUGUAAGGGAAAAUGUUAAGGCCAUAUGAAAAUACAAAAUGUUAAUAUAAAUAUAAAAUUCAAUUCUUUUUAGUCAGCCAGAGCUCCCACCAUUGCCCUAUGUGACAAGUUCUUGCAAAGAGGAAUAAUGCCACACCCAGGAUUCAAUUCCAAAAUUGAACAUCUGUUGCCACCCAAUUUAGCUCCUCUAGAAUCCCGCUUCUGGGCAGCAGCAAUUCCAGAAUUCAUCCGCUCACACAAGUUGUCGAGCUUCUGCUGCAUGCUUAGCAGCACCUGAUCCUGCUUUAUUUGAAACUGAAUUGUUAAGUUUUCCAGACCGCCGCCCCCUCCCCAACCAAAAAAAAAAAACAGCUACGGAAGGUACGCCAAAUCCCAUAAGGCCAUAACUACUGAGGAGAAUAAAAAACUAAUCCUCAAACCUCCACAAAAAAAAGGAGAAAAUGAUUUUCCCGAUAUCAAAUGCAUUCGGGAAAGAACUUUUACCAUACAAGACUAGCAAGCGAAGAACUCCAUAAAGAAAUCUUAGUUCUUAACGGAAUACCUACCGAAAUAAAAAGCGGUUUUUCAUGUAAAAAAGACUCUUUGUCAAGACAGAGAAUUUACCAAAGGCCGUGCCUUCACUUCCUCUUGCUUAACUUUUUGAAAGCUAAAUUUGUGAAAAAGUUCAAUGCUUUUUUUAGAACGCAUAUCCAUAAAAAGAUACAAGAACAGCGAAGGAAGCCAGUUGAUCAAACUAAAAUGGCCAUAAGAAACAAGAAAUAAAUGAUUCCAUCGCUUCAGUGGUUCAAAAAAUUUAAGACUUUUCGAAUCUAUGACGAACCCUUAUAUCUACCGAUCUGUGGAGUUGCGCUAUCUUCCGAGCUCUCUUCGACUUAGAGGAGGCCACGGCUACGACGGCAACGAUGAGGACCCGUUGGAGUGGGGUAAACAGCUCCCAAGCCGCGGCUUCCACCGGCGUCAAGCCCCCUCCUACGGCGCUGGCUGACGUGGCCUCCUGCGUGCCGACCAGGCGGCCCUGGAGGGAGACCCACGCGAGCUUCUUCCUCGCCGGGGUCGCAGCCUGGCUCGGCUCGUUGAAGCAGCUGGAGAGGCGGCGUGGAGUCGGGGAGACGAAAGGGGCAAAAGGUGCGAGCGAGACACGAGCCGGCGGGGCGGGAGUCGCGCCUGAGCCGGGCCGGGGGGCGUCAUCGUCGCCGACCAUCGCGAGAUAGUCGGAAAUAGAGAGGAGGCGGAGGCGGAGGCGUUGGGGACGGAGGACGGGGGAAUUCGAGCGCGUUUAUUACAGGUUGGAAUGUUUUGAAAUUUUGAGUGCCGAAGGAGACAGUUUUGGCAAAAAAAAAGGAGACAGUUUUGGCGAGAUGGGGGGGGAGCGAACGAGACACGUGGCAAAUAGGAUGGUGCCGUAAUGAGGCCGUUGGGAACCGGACAAUAUCGGUGAAGCAAUACUAGCCGUUAAAGGUUUUUCCCUAUUUACCAAAAAAAAAUGGUUUUUCCCUCAAGUCGGUUUCUGUUAAAAAUUUGUAAUAUAUUUGUAUUCUUUUUCGGACGUAUGUUAGAAUUUCUUGUGUUUUGAUUUCUUUUUAAUCCUUAUCUUCUUUUUGAAAGUGAUGGAGAAAAUGUGGCAUAAUUUAAGAAAAAAUAUUACAUUACUGCUGCUUCAUUUCAUUGUGGCUUGUGAUUUACUUAUUUUCAAUAAAGAUGCAAUAAAACUGAAGUUUAAUUUGAAUUGUUGGAAAUAUAAAAAAUAUUUUAUAUGUCUAUAAUUUUAAUAUUACACAAAGAAGUCUUAUAAAUAGGAUUGCAAUCAAAUCGAGUUGUUUAGCAACUCAAAUUUGAUUUAGCUACAAGUUUGUUUGAGCUUGGUUCAUUUAGAAAAAUAGUUCAUGCUUAAAUAUAUUCUGAAGUGUGUCUCAUAAAUAAGCUAAGCUUGAACUUUUAAGGCUCAAAAAAAUAAAUAGGAGUUUGGCUUCACUUACCAAGAAGCUUGUUCGAGCUUCGCUUAUAUAAUGUACAAGCCAAGCUGGAAGAAUUGCUUUUCAUCUUAAGCUUGGCUCGAGCCCAAAUAGCUCUGUAUAUAGCAAGCUAAAGCUUCAGCAGUAGGUUGUUUGCAUUCUAGCCCAUAGAGAAUUGAUAGGUUCAAAUAAUGAUUUCAUUUUUUUUCUAUUUGAACCUCAUAUGGCUCAACUUGUUUUUUCUCCGCAUAAAAGAGAGAAUUUUUAAAAAAUGAGAUUAACAGAAGUCUUAGAGAUAGAGAAAUAAAAUCAUCUAUACAAAUUAUCAAUACUCCAACCAUCAUAAGAUAUCGAGGUUAGGAACUCCAUUGUUAAGGUUUCCCAUUAUGAUUGUAAAUUAAAGAAAGGAAACAUUUUUAUUAUUUUUUUUGAGAUGCAUUGGAUAAACUAAUCUCACACACAUAUAAUCCUUUCUAUUUUUAGCCAUAGGAUCUUUAAUUUUAAACAUAUUUUAUAUUUUUCUAGUGUCAAAAAGAGCUAAAGCUUCUUUUUUAAAAAGAAAUUGAAAAUACUUUCAAUUUUCUUCAAAUUUAGCCCAUUGUUUUGCUUGUCCAAUCAAUUUUGCCUAUCCAAUAUCACCAACAAUUGAUCCAAUUGUAGCUGCAUUACUCAUGAUUGUCUAUAUGCUGCACAUCUCAACAUCAGCUCUAUAUUUUCCUCCCUCACCCUAUUUCUUCCCCUUAGCCCGUCUUCAACAUCAUCUUAUCUGGAUACCUUGUCUUCCUCCACCCUUAGUUCCUCUCCCACCAUCUCUAUUUGCCCAAUUCAUCUUCACCCCAACCUACAUUUUUUGUUUGACUUCAUCCUUUCAUUGUUGCUCUCCCUACUCACAUGCUUCUCUCUCCUUUCAUUUGUUUAACUUCGUCCAUCAUCAUUUAUUGAGCCCAACAUUCAUAUACUUUCUUCCAUCACCAUCCUCAUGUUUUGCCCCUUUCUAUUUUAUCAUAAUCACUCGACUUACUUUCCUUCUUUGCUAUCCAAAAUAAGAAAAUUAGACGAAUGGAACGCGCUUAAAGAAAGGCAUGGAAAAUAAAACAUAUAAAAAUAAAACAAAAGAAAGAAAACAAAAAGAUAUGCUUUUAACUCUUUCAAAGAUGAAACCAUGACUAUUCAAUUCUAGAUCAAGUGGCUAAAAGAAUAAAAGUGUUCGGUAUCCCGCCUUUUAGAAGUAGAAAAGUUUAAUAAAAAUAUAAUAUUAGGGAUAUGGCUUAAAAUCAACGUACCUAUCAUGAGUCACCAUGUGGCAGGUGCAACGACCAAUUUUAAACAGAUUUGAAUCUUAAGCAUAUUUAAGAGGAUCUAUUAUUAAAAGUAUUCAAAUAAGGAAGUGUUGCUGGUGGUCCAAACCGAGAACGAUUGGCACAGCGGUGUGAACGGGGUUUCGUUUGGGUUGCCNNNNNNNNNNNNNNNNNNNNGUUAUUUUCUUUAAAUAAUGCAUUGGCAUGUGAAAUAUUAUGCUUAAUCCGGUAAGAUGGUGCAUGGUUACUGUUGCUGGUGGUCCAAACCGAGAACGAUUGGCACAGCGGUGUGAACGGGGUCCCAUUUGGGUUGCCUUGGUUGGUGUUGAUUGCGCUCCACUUUCCACCGGGAAACCUGCAAGCAAGUCUCGCACCACCACUGGGGUAGUAGGGGCCCUCCGACGAUCAAGUCAGAGGAGAUUGGAGGAGAAGGAGAGAUAAUAGUAGCAAGUAAGAGAAUGCUCUGGAAGUUCUUGCUUACCCUCCCCCUUCUCCCCCCAGCCGCAUAUAUACCAGGCUGAGGGGCCCUUUUGGGGGGUUGGUCAUCGUGUAGCACGAUGGAGCUGCCACUGACAUGGCCGUUACAGGGCGUCGUGGGGCAGCGCUGGGUACGGCCAUGACAGGGCGUAGUGGAGCUCCGCUUUGUACGGCUGUUACAGGGGAUCGUGGAGCAGCGCCGGAUACGACCGUUGCAGGGAGUAGUGGAGCAGAGGGCCGCGGCGUGCCUCUGGGAAAUAGCCUGUCGUUGUCGGGAGAUGUCCGACUCGGGGUCGGGCUGCGGAGACGAAGAUGUCCGACUCGGGGUCGGAUUGCUGGAUCAAGGGGCAGCCGACUUNNNNNNNNNNNNNNNNNNNNGCCCCCCACUUCCGAGCCUGGAACCAGGAGGGGAACGGGUGAAGGGAGUGAUGCUUCGGGAUUGCCGCCAUCCCUCGGAAAGGCGCGCGCGCUCCGAGCUCCCCGCCUUCUUUAUGGCGUAUGGCGGUUGUCGCUGAUCUGGCGGUCUGCGGAUUUCGGCGGACAUCCUUCCUUGAUGGCGUCGAUUCGCCUUUGGGGCGUGAACGAUCCUUCGGUAGCCAGGCGUCCCCUGGCAUCACCGAGGCGUCACCCGCCUUUCCGCCUAUUUAACCGGGGGCCCUCCCCCGUCCGCCUUUCUCUUCACAGGCAUCCUCGAGUUUCUCCCUUGUGCUGCUGCCGUUGCCGUCGGACUGUUCGUUCGCUCCUCCUUUGACGCUCUCGGAGCCGUUCUUCCUUUCCUUCCGGUGAGUUGCCCCACUCUUCAAUUUAGGGCUCUCCGUACUUUCUCCUUUCGUAUUAGUGUACCCCAGUCGUUCCGGUCCCUUCUCCCCUCUUGACCCCGUCCUGACCGUAGAUUCACUGGCCANNNNNNNNNNNNNNNNNNNNNNNNNNNNNNNNNNNNNNNNNNNNNNNNNNNNNNNNNNNNNNNNNNNNNNNNNNNNNNNNNNNNNNNNNNNNNNNNNNNNNNNNNNNNNNNNNNNNNNNNNNNNNNNNNNNNNNNNNNNNNNNNNNNNNNNNNNNNNNNNNNNNNNNNNNNNNNNNNNNNNNNNNNNNNNNNNNNNNNNNNNNNNNNNNNNNNNNNNNNNNNNNNNNNNNNNNNNNNNNNNNNNNNNNNNNNNNNNNNNNNNNNNNNNNNNNNNNNNNNNNNNNNNNNNNNGCAGAGGCUUUCUUGGCGUGGGACAUCUUAUGAACAAGAAAGAGGAGAGCGGGGCUAGAGACAUUGGGGUGGUGGAGGUGGGAGAAGGAAAGAAGGAGGUGGGUGGUAAAAGGAAGCAAUGGAGGGCGAUGGAAGGGAGAUAAGACAUGUGGGCGGGGAGAAAAAAAGGGGAACAAGAGCACUCUUGUUUCCACAGGGUGUGACCCCUUGUCUCUUGAAGAGAAAGGGGGGUGCAUGGCCCCCUUUCUAUUGCCCAAAUAAACAAAGGCACCACCUUAUAGGCGGGCAUUGAUGAUGGCUAGGCUUGGGCCUUGGGCAUAGGUAUCACAAACCCUAUCAAAUUUUGGUUUUGCACAUGUUUUAAAAUAUUCAGGUCAUGAUCAAUGCUGUGAAUUCUCAAUAAAUAUGCACUAUCAUACUUUUAAAAACACUAACGCUGUUGACACCAUCCAUUUUUUCUUUGCUUGACGCACAUGUAAAAUACCUCCCAAAUAAAAUGCUUUUUUUCUACUCAUCCAUGUGUUUGUACAUCAUGAGUAGAGUUUUGUAUCUCCAAUUAGAUGGCAUAUAAUUUGUUGUUGAUAUGAUUUAGUCUUUAAUCCUACCGGCAGGAUUCCAGUUCAACUCAUAUACAAUUACAUGUACUUAUAAUACAUACAUGAUGCACACAUAUAGAUUAUAUGCAUGUACAUAGUGAGAGAAAGAUGUCUACAUUUCAUAGUAUAAUCUAAAUACACUCCAAAAGUGUCUAUUUUGCAUUUAAAGAAAUAAAAGAAUCAUUUGAAGGAGAUGGAUAUUAGGGCAUCCUCUUAAAAUGUGAGAAUUCAGCUUUUCAUUCUUGAACAAUCUUACUAAGAUACCUUAACAUCACGACAAGUUCCCACAUUGUCGAGAACUUUUUGACGGCUAAAAGUUUCAAAGGACUCCCCGUUGAAUACCCUAUAAAAACAAUUCUUUUAAGAGCUUAGAAUCUAAUUUAAUCAGCUGUAAAGUAACUUUGACCUUUAGUACAAGUAAAAAUUAUAUUCCAUUAUAUCAUAAGCGUUAUCCAUGCCAAGCUCGAAAGUGACUUUGCCACUUUUCUAUAUUGAGCAACCUUUCACAAAUGCACCUUUUUUCGUGAAGCUGACUUGAGAUUAUACUCUUUUGAAGCUUGCAGGCUAUUAUUUUAUAAAUAAUUCUAGGCAUAACUCCGCUAUCUAAGGAUCAGAAUUAGUUGCCAUGCAGUUGCCAACCAUGGGAGUCAUGGUAGGACCCAUGUAUGUCUUUUAGAAAGAAAUAUUUCUGGGUGACCAAUCUUUUGGAGAUCUUGAUAUGGCUCUGCUUAACUUCAUUCAGCUUAUAAACCAAAAUUUAGAAUUGGCAUAUGACUUCAUCGAAUGUUGUGACAUCAUUAAAAGUUCUCUUUCUCCCUUUCCAUUUGGGUAAUUUGGCACAUAUCACCAACUGCAAAAAGAUUAGUAAUGUUCUUUAUGAUCCUAGGUGCGCAAUAAAAUCUCAAAUGUAUCCAAUAAGAAUUCCUAGGUCAACUGCCUUUCAUUGGAUGUGACAACUGACAACCUAAGGCUAACUGGUGAAAAGACAAGUACAAGAAAUGAAAAAAUUAAUUUCUUUUUAUUGUUACCCUCAUCUUUUUCUCUAUUUUAUCCAUUGAGAGAAGCGGGUAGAGGGAUGAAAUGGUAAUGUGAUGUCAUGCGGUACUGAUACAAGGCCUAUCAGACUCUAAACCCUACAUGUAGGGGAUAUAGGGCCACAAAGCCUGCUUUUUGUUUGCCUGAUGACUAUGUUUCAGGAGCUGUCAUUUCCUCCCACUUUUCCAUGUGUUCACUUCAUGGAUAUACCUUUUCUCGUUCUGAUAGGACCAGAAUAUGUGAGCAACCAUUCUCAUAUUCUCAUGAUGAGCAAUCUUAUUCUUUCUCAUUGUUUGGUGGCCUAAACAGUAAAAUGAAUGUAAUACCACUGUAAUCAGAACUUAGAAAAUUAGUAUCAGUGUCUCUCUUAUCAGGCAGUAUUUCAGUCAGUAUCUUUUACUAUUGUAUGAAGAAAAUUUAAAGUGCAGCUCUCGAUGCAAAUAUAUCGCAUAUUGAUUGGCUGCACAGAUUAGGGAAUGGCUGUAUUGUAGGCGUCGUCUAAAACAUAAUAAUAAUAGUAGCAGCAGCAUCAGUAGUAGUAAUAAUAAUAAUAAUAUUAACAAUAGUAACAAUAAUGGUGAAAAUAAUAAAAUAAAAAUACUAAGGUUUACUACGUUGUCCACAAAGUAAUGUUGAGUACAAGUGGCAUCACGUGUAAGACUUGUGACAGCCAAGGUCAGUGACAAUCCUUGCAUAAGAGGUGGUUGAUCUUCUGGAUUACAAACUCUAGAUGCGUUAUAUAUAUAUAUAUAUAUGAUUUGUAUAACCUAUUUGAGUACAUGUUUAUGUUUUCUUGUCAGUAAUUUGCUUAUUUCUGUAUUGCAGGCCUUACUGGUGCUUUUUGAAAGUUAAUGAUGAAAAAUGUGCAGCAGGUAAGUUUCAAUACUUCUUCUUCCAAUUAGAGUAUAAUACUACGAGAAGUAAGGAGCCAGUGUCAUUUAUUAAAUUGAAGUUACCUUCGACUUUCUGUUAAUUUAUCACUAUUGCCCAAAAGCUGCAUUAACGAGUCACAAACGACUCAAGAUAAUGAGUCAAGAAUGACUCAAGUAACAACUGGCAAUGAGCCUAAGAGAAGAAAAGAUCAUAAAUGAUUAGUAUAAGAAAAAUUGGCCUGGACAGGGAUUUGAACCCAUGAGCUUUGGCUCUAAUAUUAAUUUAAUUUGCCACUGGACCUCAAAAGCUUAAGUUGUUAGGAAAGAAGUAAACAAUGUAUAUUAAGCCGUAACAUAUUCUACAGUUAUUUAUGUGCAUACACUGCACAGUAUUUGCAGUCUGCCCAUGCAAAGUUUGCACAUUGGAGAUACUUCAUUUUGGAUGCAGCCAUGGCAUCUUUUGCUUAUCUAGUUCAUACAUGAUUUACUGAUAAGGCUACUGCAACAUACAUCAUAACCUAAAACACACACAUUUGAAAACAUAAUCCUCUCAUCCUAGUAAUCUUUUUUUUCCCAGUAUGACAAAAAAUGCUUUAACAAUGUCCAAAAUUGAUAGAUUGUUCAGCAGUUACAAGGGCUUAAUCUCUGCAAUGAGUUAAGUCUACCUACCUGCCAGCUGCUCUCAAAGUUUUAAGGCAGGCUUCUUUUGCCACAAGUUGCUUUGUCCAAGAACGAGACACCAUUUAAUGGAUGGUCAUGUUCUCGAAGGCUAGUAAUCUUUUUUUCCCAGUAUAACAAUAAAUGCUUUAACAAUGUCCAAAAGUGAUUGAUUGUUCACCAGUUGCGAGGGCUUAAUCUCUGUAAUGAGUUAAGUCUACCUACCUGCCAGCUGCUCCCAAAGUUAAGGCAGGCUUCUUUUGCCACAAGUUGCUUUGUCCAAGAAUGUGACACCAUUUAAUGGAUGGUCAUGUCAGUUUGAAGGCUGGCCCUGGAUGGUCAAUAUUCCAUGCUUUCUGUGGUCCAUAUAGCCAAAUCCGGAUCGGACGCGAUAAGUUUUCAGCUGAGGAAAUCCAAUAUUGGGUUUUUUAAACCAGAAAAUAGAUGGCUGAGAAAUCUUGUCUUGUACUUAAUCAGUGCAAUUAAGGUGGUCUUCUUUAUAGUUGCCAGAUUAAUGUAUUGUAGCGUGACAAAAGUUUUCAUGAUCACUGCCAAAAUAUUUACAAAGGCAAAGAGUGUUUUCUGAUGAUUUUAAAGCAUGACAUUUCAUCUAUUUCAACUGAUUAUUAACUGCUUAGCUACGUCAUUCAUGAAAAAAGAAUAGGAAAUCAAGAUGUAAUGGUUUUUCAAAUUGUCGAUAUUACCUCUUCCUUUCUCUACAGGGGCCUGCAACAACAUGCUAUGUGGCACUACAUCCUCAAGUUAAUGGAGUGACAGGACAGUAUUUCAGUAAUAGUAAUUUAGCGACACCUAGCUCCAAAGCUUCCGACAAACAACUGGCCAAGAAAUUAUGGGAUUUCAGCUUGAAUUCAAUUGCUUAUUGCUAUAUCGUCGACUUGCUUUAUCUCAUUCUUUAAUGCUCACCUUUUACUGUAAAACCUCUGAAUUAAUUGUACUCCACCUCUGCAUGUGCAUUGCACAUUCUUUUUUUAAAGAAGAAAGAGCAUUUUGAUGAAUUGCUGUGAUUCCAUCAAUGAAGAUUGUUUAUAGCAAAUUUGAUAAAUUACUUCUGUUUUAGUUUGAAUACUAUUUUAUGGGUAUAUUUUUCUAAAGGAGUAGACUAUUAUAAUGAUAUUGUCUUUGUCCCAUGGGACAAGCCUUGGCCUCACACAUAGUCCUCAAAAGGAAUUUGUCUUAUGAUGCUAGAGAAUUUUCUGUACUCAGUACUCACCAUAAGUAAUAGAAAAACAAUGCCAUUGUUUUUCUCAUAACAUAAAUAGCAUGCCUUAGAAAUACCGAAAGAGGAGCAGUGCAUACCCAUAAAUAUCUCUUGAUCAGGCUAUAUGCAACUGAUUCUGUUAUUGUAGGUCUCUGCAGCAGAAAAUGAUGCAACUAAUAGGAGGGAGAGGAAGAAAAGAACCAUAUGUCCAUAAUUCUCCUUGUAUAGAACAUGAAUAAUUAUAAUGGGUUACUAGCUUACUCCAAUGUAAACAUCUUUUUGGUAGAUUUCCUAAGUUCCUUCCACAACUAUUACCUUAACAAAAUUCACUACCAUAUAGGGAAAUAUAAUCUUAUAAUUGAUUUAUAAUCUUUAAAGGUGUCAUUAAAUGAUAAUUAUGUUUAUUAAAUCGAAUCUUUCAUCUCAUAGAUCCCCAGUAUUGAAUCGAAGGUCAAGAUCAGCUAUUACUGUGUCAUGCCUCGAGCCCGGAGCGCAACAGACACUGUACAAGAUCAGCUAUUACUCUGUCAUGCCUCGAACCUGGAGCGCAACAGACACUGUACACCUGUACGGCGGACCGUACAGGUAUGCAAAGCUAUAAAUCAUAUCAAAGCAAUGAUAAAUUUUUAAAAUUUAUUUUUUAAUCAAUAAUUUACUCAAAACAAUCUCCCAAAGUUUUUUUUUUGGUACAGCGGGGACUCACACACGUGUAUGGGUAUAGCCAAGCAAUCUCCUAAAGUUUCAAAAUAACAUAUGACAACAUAAAUUAAUUACUCUAACUAGUCUAUCUAAAAUGCUAAUAACUGAAAGAAAUCUUCAGAAAUCUAGCGUAUUUCCCAAGUCCCGUGCAAUCACGUAUCUGAAUCUGAAAAAUAGAGAAAACAUGAUGAUGAGCUACACUAGCCCAGUAAGCAAUAUAAUACCCCAAAUAUGGGGUCAAACAUGCCAGAUAUUUAGUUAAAAUACGAAAUAAUGAUUGAAAAAUAAAGCACAAAAAAUAUAUUUUUCUUUUCAAAAUUUAUUAUUAUUUUCACAAAAACUCUCAUAUUAGAAUUCCAACAUUAAUAGGAUAUACCACGUAACCUAGUGACAUAGAUUGUACAAAGUGCCCAAUCCACUAUUAUUAACCAUCGGUGGCAACGAUGUCCAAAUCAACUAUUAUUAACCACCGGUGGUAAUGAUGUCCAAAUCCACUAUUUUAAUCACCGGUAGCGCGGUGUCGAAAUCAGUUUCCCACAAAUACAAGUCGACAUGGCCAGCGAAUAAUCUCUAUUGGUAGGGCCAAAAUAGAUCAUAGCCAUACUGCGAAUACAUAUAUAUACACAAAAUAGAUUUUUCAUAAUUUACCCAAUCACAUUUUUCAGAUUUCAUAAUAUAACAUAAAUACAAAAUGAUAUUAAUAUACCUGGCCCGAUUAACUAAGUAUAAAAAUAUACAUCAAAAUUUAAUCAACUAAAAAUUAUUUUACCAAAUAAUUUUGAAAACACAGUUUGAAGUAUUAGGUUACUUACUUCUUUUCACUUUAAAUCCCACUUCAGGCAAACAUGUUAGAUACACUUAUUUAAUAUCAUUAAAAUAUUAUUAAUUUAAACAUAAUUUCAGAAGUCAGAAUUAAAUACUAUAGUCGUAUGCCCCCAGAUCAGUUCAGCCCGAGCAAGGAGGGUUCAACGGGUCAUAGGUGAGAUCGAAAGUGGCCAAAUAUAGCUGGAGCUGAAGUAAUGGCCGGUCUACCACACAAGUACCGGGGCAGUUCGGAAUUUUCAAACUGGGUCAACUUGGAUCCAAGCUAAAAAAAGGACAUGGCUUACACUAGGAUCUCCAAGCUUGUCCAGAGAGAGAAAAAAGAGGAAAGAGAAUCUCUGGUCGAGUUUGGAUUUGGUCUGAUCAUGGUCUUGGGGUUGGUCCUAAUAGUUCAGAUUGACCAUCAGAGGAAUGGUCUAGAUCUAGUCAGAACGUGGGCUUGCUUAGAGAGAGAAAGAGAUACACAAUCUAAGGUUAAUUGAGCUUUUGGGCUUGAUCUACUUAGUUAAAUCCAAUCAGAAGCUUGGCCUAUUCAGUCCGAUUUGACCAAAAUCGAAAAAGAGAUAUUUGACCUAGGUCGAGCAGGAUCAACUAAUAGGCUUUCAGAGAAAUUUUUGCAUUUAAUUGGACAUAUAGUUUAGUUUCACUUAUAAGGUAAGUAAUGCAACACUUUUUUUCUAAAUUUAUGUGUAAUUUAUAAAAUAUUUUCUAUAUGGAAUUAUUCACGAUUUAUAAAAGUGAUCAUAGUAUUUUUAAUUAUUAAAAAUGCCCUUGUCCAAAAUUUUAAACGACUCAUGAUUGAAAGUAUUGAUCUUGAUAUGGAUGAUGCCUUAUUGAUUUUGAUGUCACAUAUUUUUAUGAAUAUAUGUUUAAGAAAAAGAUUUUUGAUUCGAGACAGACUUAGACUCAUAGCCAAUAUAUAUUUUGAUACCCUGCAAGUAAGGAUUAUAUGCUGGCACUUUGACACUCUGAUAGUAGGGGUUGUAUGUUAGCAUUUCGAUAUCCUGCUAGCGAGGGUGGUACGUUGGUACUUUGAUAUUUUGCUAGUGAGAGUCAUACAUUGGUACUUUGAUACCCUGCAAUUGGAGGUACGCGGUAGCACUUUGAUGAGGUCAUAGUUCAUAGCUGUUGAGAUGAACCGGAUAUUUUCAAAGUAAUUGAUUUAUCAAUGAAAUUUGAAUUUUGAAAUAAUUGGAUAGUAUUUAGAUUUGGUUUUGAAUUGAUGUACUUUAGAUGCUUAUUUUCAGCAUAUUAUUAAUUAUUUUAUUGUUGGACUUAUUUUGUUAAAAUAUUCAUUGCUUACUGGGUUGUCUAGCUUAUUAUUCUAUAUUUUAUUAUUUUAACAAAAUUAAAGAACUAGCUUGACUUCGGGAUUCGUUAUGGGAGAGCUACUAAAGAUAGAAUUUUGACAUCUUUUAGUUUAUGUUAGGAUUUUGUUAAAGUUUGAUGCAAGCCUUUAGAAUAUUGUUGCUUUUGUGUGACACUUAAUUUUGAGUUAGUUAUUUAAAUUAAAUUUUGAAUGUUAAUUAUUUAAAUUUAUUCCACUGCUUGUUUAUGAUAUCAUGUUGAGAUGCCUUGCAUGCUUGUGAGAGAGUUUCCUAUGAGCGGUUGCCGCAACCCCUGGCUCGUGAUCUCGAGUUGGGAGCGUGACAAUUAAUAUGAUAUUAGAACAUAAGUGAAUAAACUAUAAAUCAUAAAAUCAGACAUAAGAUGAGUAUAGAUGGGUAUAUAUUGUGGACAUUGGGACAUUAGUUUAUGAUGAUUGUGAUAUAAAUUAUCUUAAUAAAUUUAUAAUUAACUAAUAAGCCUAUUUAGGAUUUGCUGCUACGUGAUGGAGGCAUUAGUUUAGGAUGGUUGCAAUAUAAAUUAUCUUAAUAAAUUUAUGAUUAAUUGAUAAGCUUAUUUAGGUUUGCUGCUAUCUGAUAGAUAUAGGUUAAGAUGUCUGCAUAUUGGAUAAAAAGGACGAUUAGAAAUUCUGCCGUAGAGGCAUCAAACUAGCAGGUUGGUGGUAGUUUCCAGCAAGUUGGUGGCAGUUUCCUGCAAGUUGGUGGCAGUUUCCUGCAAGUUGGUGGCACUUCUCAAUAGGAAAGAGUUAUUGAUCCAACUUGAAACCAUACAGAGCAACCAGAACCUAAUAUGGCCUAAUUAAUGCAGACAUUAGAUGGAUUGAUGCAACUGCAGCAGCAAUUACAAUAGCAACAAUGGCAAAUGCAACAACACAUGCAAAUAUAGCCACUAAAAGUACGUGGGGAGCAGCAGAAGCAGCAAUGUAACAUUGUAGAAUUUAAGAAGAUGGCUCCACCAGCUUUCAAGGGGACUACAUAACCUUUGGAAGUUAAAAAUUGGCUUAUGGAAAUAAAGAAAGCAUUCACCUUUCAAAGAUGCGUUGGGGAUGAAAAGAUUUGUUAUGCAUCAUACAUGUUGCAGGGUGAGGCAUUCAAUUGAUGAUAGAUGCUGGAUUAUAAAUAUGAACAAGAUAGGGAACAACUUACAUCUUUUUUUAAGGAGGAGAAUAUAACACUCAACCCGAUUAGCUGGCCUGGUCCAUUUGACCAGCCUAGAUGAAAGGAUUCAACCCAAGAAAAGACAAGAAGAGAGAGAGAGAGAGGGGAAGAGAGAAGGGCUUCUCUCCUCUCCUCCGUUCCUCUCCCUUCUCUUCUUCUCUUUUUCUCUCUCUUUCCUACUUUCUCUCUUCUAUUUCUCUCUCUUCUUUCUCUCUCUUAUUUCUCUCUCUACUUGGACUUUCUUCUACUCUCUCUAGGGUUGUUGGAUCUGGUAAGAACUCCUCAUGAUUUUGGAUCAACCCUAGUGAAGGGAUCUUGAUCCAUGGCCGUCGAGCGGCAUACUAGCCCCACCUUAGCCCUUGGCGGUUACUAUUAGAUUUAGUCAAUUUUGAAUUCUCCUAAACCAUUUGCACCCUAGUUUAACCAUGAUAAGAUAAAAUUCACCUUGAUCGGAUUGAUCAAGGAGUCGGACAAUCCAGCUUGGUUAACCUUGUGAGAAUGUUGAAUUUAGAAUUUUUAAUAUAAUCCUGAUGAAAUUUUGAUGGGUAUAUAAUUUUUAAAUAUCAAGUUCUGAGAGAAAUUUUUGGAAUUAAUUGGAUCUAUAGCUUGAUUUUGCUUAUAAGGUAAGUAAUGCAACUCCUUUUUUCUAGAUUUAUUAGUAUUUUAUAAAAUAUUAUAUGUAUGGAAUUAUUCAUGAUUUAUGAAAUUGAUGCAUACUACAUUUAGUUAUCAAAUAUACCCUUGUCCAAAAUUUUAAAUGACUCAUGCUUGAAAGUAUUGAUCUCGAUACAGAUAGUGCCUGAGUUUUGAUUCGAGACAGAUUUGGACUCAUAGCUAGACUAUGUUUUAAUUUCCUGCCAAUAAGUGUUAUAUACUUGCACUUUGAUACCUUGUUAGUGGGGGUUGUAAGUGGUAUGCUAAUACUAUGGUCGUAAGAGUUAUGUGGUGGCACUUCAAUACCCUGCUAUUGAGAGUUAUGUCAUGGCACUUAGAUAUGGUCAUAGUUCAUGGCUGUCGAGAUGAACUUGAUGUUUUAAAAUUUUAUUUUAAAACGAUUAGAUAGUAUUUUAAAAUUUUGAAAUUGAUUUAUGAAUAAAAUUUUGAAAUGACUAGAUAGUAUUUAGAUUUGAUUUUGAAUUGAUGUACUAUGUAUGCUUAUUUUCAGCAUAUUAUUAAUUAUUUUAUUGCUUGAUCUAUCUAGCUUAAGUGUUUCUUGCUUACUGAUUUGUCUAGCUUAUUAUUAUAUAUUCUUCUAUUUUAAUAGAUUUGAAGAACUAGCUUGAUCUAGAGAUUUGUUAUAAGAGAGCGACUAGAGACAGAAUUUUGAUAUCUUUGGUUUAGAUUAAGAUUUUGUUAAAGUUUGAUGCAAAACUUUUAAAAUAUUGCUAGUUUCGCAUAACAAUUAAUUUUGAUUUAAUUAUUUUAAUUAAAGUUUGAAUGUUAAUUAUUUAAAUUUAUUCUGCUAUUUGUUUAUGAUAUUAUGUUGAGAUGCCUUGCAUGCUCGUGGGGAGAGUUUUUUUAUGAGUAUACAGCCGUUGCUGCGAUCUCUGGCUCAUGAUCUUGGAUUGGGGGUGCAACAAGUAAAGACUAUCCUUUUUCCAGCAUAGGUUCUAAAGUAUCUCUAUUCUUCGCUGGUGUUUAUUUCCAAUAAUAUAUAUGCCAUUGCUUUAGUGAUUGACAGGUGCUAGAACAGUGAUAUGGACAGAGUUGGGGAUAACAGGCAAUGCCUUUCCACUAAUGUGAAUUUUUGUAGGCACAUUUUGGUCCUAGAAAGUCACUUUUGAAACCUCCAAGCCCACCGUGUUUAGUUUGAAAUUCGAACAUAUUGUUCCUUGCAAAAAAGAAGAAGAAAGGAAUAUGAACAUUAUCUUAUAAACGAGAACAUCGUCUUAGCAUAGUAUGAUACCUACACUAAUGAAUGUUUCUUAUUAUGUUUAAGGUAAAACAAAGAAAAGUCAAUUUGGAUACCUACCACUAAUGAAUGGAAAGAAGUUAUGAGUUAAUUUCAUUAUAUUGCACCAACACCAUAAAGGACUGGAUGCUGACCUUCAUUACAUACUUGGCCUCCUCGGUAACUCUUUUCAUAACAAUACUUUUGUUAAUAACAAUUAACAAAAAUAUGAAGGCAAAAAAAUUAGAAACAUGAUGCAGAAUAAAACAACAUGGACUAAAAAUUUACCCUCCCUUCUAUAACCUUUUUUUUUUAUAUAUAUAUCGCAACCAUUAUAUUUAAGCAAUAAGGCGCAGAGAGAUGAGAUCAAAAUAUAUCGUUUCAAGAAAGAAGUAGAGGAAGCACAAAGGUAGAUUUUACCAACGAUAGAUCCUGUGCUAGCGAAGAUUUUUUUAUUGCAAUAAUUCAUUAGAGGUGUGUUGGGUUCAUGGCCGGAAUUUGAAUCGAAUCGAAGUAGAUUGAAAUAGGAAUCAAAGUUGGAAUUGAAAAAUUAAUUAAAUAGAGAGAGAUUUUUAAAAAAUCAAUUAAACAGAGGUCUACUUUUGGAAAAUUAUUUUUAAAGUAAACCUAAUGUAAUGGAAUUUGGAUAUUGAGAGAAUAGCCAGGAUUGGAUUUUGUGGGGAUUGGAGCAUCCAUAGAAUGGAAAUGGAAAUAGGACUCCCCCCAAAUUUCCAACCAAAUGGUUGGAGUGGGAGUAAUUUAUUCAUAUUUCCAAUUUAAGAGCCCAACUAUUCCCAACCAAUUUUAUCCAAGAAAAAAUGAACAAAAUUAGACAGUGCAGGACAAAAAAGAAUACAGAGCAAGAGCUCCCAUUACUCCUUUUUUAUGAUAUUUCCUUGUCCAAGCAAUUACAUAAUAUGAAAGUUUGCGACAAACUUGAAGGACAGUGGACUAGCUGUUGCCAAACACCCUGACAUCAAUAUUUAUGCGCCGAAGAAGCUUAUGAGGAUCUUGUUUAGAUGGACAUGACAAUUAUAAAGGGACCCACACAAUUGAAGAUUGAGGAAAUGGGAUAUGGAAAAUAGUUUCCAUGUUGAGAUGAGAACUAUGCGAGGCAAAAUGGAUCGUCCUAUUUCGGCAUAAAGUCUCCCAAUUUUGGCCAAGGAGACCUCGGCCCCGCCGAGAGCCAGGCAGACCUCGGCCUCGCCAAAGGCCGAGCCAACUUCCACCAGAGGUCACAACCGACCUCGUCAAGCACAUGUCGUGGUCUCCAAGCCUGCUUGACCUCACCCGCAGUCGAACCUGCGCGCACAUCCACGCCUGCACACAUGGACGAAUAUCCCAACCUGGCCAGCCCCUUGCUUGCUGGCCACGCCAUAACGCAUCAACCAAUGGCCAUGCCCUGUCACACCCAUCAAGGAUCAUACCCUGCCACACCUGCCAAGGGUCAUAUCCUGCCGCACCCGCCGACAUGCCAUGCCCUGUCACACCCAUCAAGGGUCAUACCUGCCAUGCCUGUCAAGGGUUAUAUCCUGCUGCACCCACCGACACGCCAUCUCCAGUUAUUGGCCAACUGAUCGCAUCUCAGCCCAAAAUUUUAGGUAACAACCGCUACCCUCACCCUAUCAAAAAGGGGUAGGGAAAGACCCUCGAUAAGCUUUUACAGGCAUUCUUAAGCUUCUACAAGCUAUUUUGAGCUAAAAGAGGCCAUCAAAGGCACUCAGAAAGAUCAUCUCCACAAAAGGCCUGACUAACUUAGCCAUCGGAGGGCCUUCGCCGGAAUCUCCGGCCAAGGCUUUGUGCAGGCAUCCCAGAGUGCAGGGAGGUGGCCAUCUUGCUCCUUUUCGGACGGCAUUUUCUCGAAGGUACCCCGGACCACCGGAGGCAGCCCUCUUUCUCCAUCCCCGGCUGACGUCUCCUCGGCUCCCUUCCGGCGUGGUUGCCCUUAGGCUAAAUUUCAACCACAACAUCUGGCGCUAGAGAAAGGGCUUGAGUCGUGAUUAUGAGAUUAAGAAAUCGAGGAGCUCCUAAUGCAUUGAGGCACCAGGUACCAACUUCCGGCAACUCGUUUUAAAGCCCACUACUUGCGGCACUGACGGACCAAGUUUCUUAGGUCCCGCUAGAGUAGUACAGUCUGCUCGUCUAGCAGGUCCAGACAAUCACUGCGGCCGUUCAAGGCCUACAGCAGGCGGAAGCCCAGCUUGCAUCUCCUCCUCGCAGGUGCGGGUCCAUAAGAUGGCGCUUGCGGUGUGAUUCCCCAGGCAAGCAGGGCACGAGAGUCCACGAAAGAGAGCAUCGCCACUACCAAAGCUCCCAGAGGCUCGAACCUGAACAUGGGAACAACCAUCGGAGGCAGGUCCACCCCAAGCUGAGCUCAACCUGAAAAAAGAAGAGGCUCCUGGAUAGCCUCGGAUCUUACAUCUUGAUGGCUCAUCAACCUCGGGAGACAGCGGCAUAUGCCUUGCCCAUGCCAGCCCAGAAGUAAUUUGCGGGAGCCACCAAAUCUGUAAUGAUGCCCCGGAGCCGAGCUUGGGGCACUCUGCAGUGUCGACCGCAAGCCCAAGAGCUCCCUCACCUGCACGUAUAAUGACGUUCUGGUCCGAUCUUCGGGGCGCCCUGCCGAGUUGACCGUGAGCCCAAGGGCUCCCUCGACCAUAGGAAAAGACAUUCCGGCUAGAUGAUAGGGCGCCCUGCAGUGUCGACCGCGAGCCCAAGAGCUUCCUCGAUCGCAGGUAUAAGGACGUCCCGAUUCGAGCUCCAGGGCAUCCUGUAGUGUCGACAGCAAGCCCAAGAGCUCCAUCGACCGUAGGUAAAAUGACGUUCGGUUCGAGCUCUGGGGCGCCCUGCCGAUUCGAUCGCGAGCCCAAGAGCUCCCUCAACCUCAAGUAUAAUGAUGUCCUGGUCCGAGCUCCGGAGUGUCCUGCUGAGUUGACCGCGAGCCCAAGGGCUCCCUCGACCGCAAGAAAAGACAUCCCGGCCAGAGGAUGGGGCGUCCUGCAGUGUCGACCGCGAGCCUAAGAGCUCCCUCGACCGCAUAUAUAAUAACAUCCCUGUUCGAGCUCCAGGGCACCCUGCUGAGUCGACUACGAGCCCAAGGGCUCCCUCAACCGCAGGAAAAGACGUCCCGGCCAGAAGGCGGGGUGCCCUGUAGUGUUGAUCACGAGCCCAAGGGCUCCGUCGACCAUAGAAAAAGAUGUCCCGGCUAGAGGGCGAGGCGCCGUACAGUGUCGACUGUGAUCCCAAAAGCUCCCUCGACCGUAGGUAUAAUGACGUCCCGGUCCGAGCUUUGGGGCACCUUGCCGAGGUGACCGCGAGCCCAAGAGCUCCCUAGACCAUAGGUAUAAUGACAUUCUGGUCUAAGCUUCGGGGCGCCCUGCCGAGUCCCUCAACCAUAGGAAAAGACGUCCUGGCUAGAGGGCGGGAAGCCCUGUAGUGUUGACCGUGAGCCCAAGGGCUCCCUCGACUGCAGGUAUAUAUGACGACGGAAUCUACAAUGACGCCCUGAGCCCAAGCUCGGGGUGCCCUGCAGUGUUGACUGCGAGCCCAAGGGCUUCCUCGACCAUGCUCGGGGUGCCCUGCAGUGUCGACCACGAGCCUAAGGGCUUCCUCGACCGCAGGUAUCUACGAUGAUGGAAUCUACAAUGAUGCCUCAGGCCCGAGCUCGGAGUGCCCUGCAGUGUCGACCGCGAGCCCAAGGGCUCCCUCAACCGUAGGUAUCUACGAUGACAGAAUCUACAAUGACGCCCUGAGCCCGAGCUCAAGGUGCCCUGUAGUGUCGACCGCGAGCCAAAAAUGCUCCUCCAACCUUAGAAAAAACUUAAGGGCAUCUCGACCUUGGUUCACUUGCCCAAGUUAAAGCCUAAAAAGAUCUACAAGGUCAAAAGGCACCAAAAUUCACAACGACCUUGUACCAAAAAAAUACUCUGGUAAACUACGGUGAAAGUUAAAUGAGGUUCGAGCUCAAAGGCCUGAAGCAGAUCUGAUGUCCGACCUCGACACCUAAAGCGCGCCAGUGGAUGAGCUCGAAGGCAAUGAGCUCUUCACCAAUUUUGUAAGACUAUUCUAGGUUUAAGUUGGAAACAAAUGCCAAGCGCAAAAAUCCAACACAAGACGUGAAGCAAGACGAGCUCAAACACUGAGAGAAAAAGUGUACUUAGAGAAAAAGUAUGCUUUAUUGAUGUUAAAAGGCCGAAGGCCGAGUACAAAAGAUAUCAACCUUGAGGCCGGAUUGAAUUCAAAAGAGGUCGAUUAUAAAAAGGCCUAAAUGGCCGACCUCACAAGUAUAAAAAAAAAAGCGAGAGAAGAAAGAAAAAAGAAAAUAAAGGGCAAAGCUCAAACAGCUGGGGCGGCAUCUGUCUUGACCUCGGCAGCGGCUUCAGCUCUAGCCUCAGCAACAUCACCAUCCACUACAUCGGCGACGGGCUCGUGGGCCUCAGCGAGCUCGCUCACUUCAGGAGCGACCGCUACCUCGGCGGCCCUAGACAGAAAUAGAUGGAGAUUGUUGAAGUCGACCUCGGGGCAAAGUUGCUGUGCCUGAUCUUGGCAGUUCUCAAAGCUUCGGAUUAAGCCAUCAGUCGCCCCCUCCGCUAGUUUGUCCAGAUACUCCUCGGACUGGCGGUAGCUUUGGAUCGCCUCCCGAAUCCGCUCCUCGGCCAACUUCUCAAGCUGCUCGGCCUUCAGCCUCAAAAUUCCGGCUCGUGCUUGNNNNNNNNNNNNNNNNNNNNNNNNNNNNNNNNNNNNNNNNNNNNNNNNNNNNNNNNNNNNNNNNNNNNNNNNNNNNNNNNNNNNNNNNNNNNNNNNNNNNNNNNNNNNNNNNNNNNNNNNNNNNNNNNNNNNNNNNNNNNNNNNNNNNNNNNNNNNNNNNNNNNNNNNNNNNNNNNNNNNNNNNNNNNNNNNNNNNNNNNNNNNNNNNNNNNNNNNNNNNNNNNNNNNNNNNNNNNNNNNNNNNNNNNNNNNNNNNNNNNNNNNNNNNNNNNNNNNNNNNNNNNNNNNNNNNNNNNNNNNNNNNNNNNNNNNNNNNNNNNNNNNNNNNNNNNNNNNNNNNNNNNNNNNNNNNNNNNNNNNNNNNNNNNNNNNNNNNNNNNNNNNNNNNNNNNNNNNNNNNNNNNNNNNNNNNNNNNNNNNNNNNNNNNNNNNNNNNNNNNNNNNNNNNNNNNNNNNNNNNNNNNNNNNNNNNNNNNNNNNNNNNNNNNNNNNNNNNNNNNNNNNNNNNNNNNNNNNNNNNNNNNNNNNNNNNNNNNNNNNNNNNNNNNNNNNNNNNNNNNNNNNNNNNNNNNNNNNNNNNNNNNNNNNNNNNNNNNNNNNNNNNNNNNNNNNNNNNNNNNNNNNNNNNNNNNNNNNNNNNNNNNNNNNNNNNNNNNNNNNNNNNNNNNNNNNNNNNNNNNNNNNNNNNNNNNNNNNNNNNNNNNNNNNNNNNNNNNNNNNNNNNNNNNNNNNNNNNNNNNNNNNNNNNNNNNNNNNNNNNNNNNNNNNNNNNNNNNNNNNNNNNNNNNNNNNNNNNNNNNNNNNNNNNNNNNNNNNNNNNNNNNNNNNNNNNNNNNNNNNNNNNNNNNNNNNNNNNNNNNNNNNNNNNNNNNNNNNNNNNNNNNNNNNNNNNNNNNNNNNNNNNNNNNNNNNNNNNNNNNNNNNNNNNNNNNNNNNNNNNNNNNNNNNNNNNNNNNNNNNNNNNAUGGCGGAGAGAGGUGCCGACUGAUGAAGUGGCGGAGGAUCUGGUCGCUCCGGAUGCGCCACGGGCGGAAGACGGGGUGACGAUGCUGGGAUUUCGACGCGGCUGGGUCGCUGAUCUUGGAGGAGAAGACGCCGCACGCAGUUGAUGGCGGAGGACUCGGGGACGACGACGACGUUGGGGCAUUCGGCAGGGACGAGCUCCUUUGAUCGCACGGAGGAGGAUUGCAUCGCGGGAGAGGAGGAAGAGGCGCCGCAGGAUCUGGUCGGUGAUGGCGGAGAGAGGUGGCCGACUGCGGGAGGAAGAAGAUAAACAGUGGAUUCCCAAUUUUUUUAUUUAUUAUGUAUUAUUUAUUUUUUUCUCUAACACUGUUCACAUGAACAGUGUUUUCACGAACACUGUUCAUAUGAACAGUAUUUUCGGCAUUUUUUUGGUUUUUUAUUUUGGAUUAAUUGUAUUUUAAUUUAUUCUUGAAUUAACAUGCAAAUUGGCUAUAAGCCUAAUAAGGAUUCAAAUAGAAAUUCACAAAAACAAUUUGAAAAUAAUCCAUCUUCAGUUGGCAUGAAAUGUCUGUCCUAAUCUAAGAUGGUAGCACACCGCAUCUUCAUUAAGCAUGGACUAUCUUAUAUUUACUUAGUGAUCAUGAAGAAUAAUUGCAUAAACGUCAUACUUAAAAUCAUAGAAAUUAAAUAUGAGAUGAAAUAGAAUAUUCAUUAAGAACAAAAUAAAGUUUAUACAACUUCAAGAAUAGAAAUCAAAGAUACAAAACCUUUGGCUCAUUGUUAGGGCUGUAUCCAGCCCUAGUCAAGAGAUCAAGCUUCCAUGGAGUGGUGGACAGCAGCAGCAGUGCAAAAGACUCCCAUCAUAACUGCCUUCUUUCUGUGAAAAGUUCUUCCCACAAUACCCAAAGUACUCUCCCUCCUUGGCUUCUGUGGGAUUCGGCCUGAGAAAGCUUGGGUGAGAAAGCUGCUCCUCUCCUUCACGUCCUGACUCCUUUUUAUAGGCUGCCUACCUCCCUCUCUCCUCCCCUAUUCUGAGUGAGAAGAUAAGAACACAGGAUGCACGUGGGAUAUCUUGGAGAUUUGCUGGGAUUGGAGCUUAUCCGGGAGAAGAUCUUUGGAUUCAAUCUGGAACCGUAGCUCUGUUUCGCUGAUGGGAGCUUUGGAUGAACUUUGUUCCGCUGGGAGGAUAAUGCGGAAGGAUGGAGCUAAUACAUUUCUUCAACGCAGAGGGGACGCGGAUGGCUGAAAGUGAGCUGAGCUGGAACCAAUCCUAUAGAAAUUCUGGGGAGUGAUCUAUUCUGAAAGAGGAGCUGAUGCCGUUUGGGAAUGAUCCGGAAGACUUUUGAGUUGGAUCUGUGGGUGAGUAGCUGGGAGAAUGGAAUCGGAUCCAUGCGGACGUGGACGUGAUCUGGAAGAAGGUGAUGCUGCUUCAAUCGUGGAGGGCUCUGUUGAUGGAUAGGGAGAUCACUUGCGGUUGGUUGGGGUUAAUCCGGAAUGCUGAGUAGAGGAAAAUCCAUCGUGGGUGGAAGCUGAUUGCAAACGAGAUUGGCUGCAGGAUGCUUGGAUUGGUUUGAGUCAAUCUGGCAUGCCGGGAUGCAUGGGAGAAAUUCGGAAGAAGAGAACCAUGGACGUGGGAUGAAGAUGGAGUUAAUCCGGAAUGGGAGGGAUUCUGGAUUUGGCUGGGUUUGAAUGUUUGAUUUCCUUCGGCUGGGAAGAAUCCUUCGGCUGGGAACAGGGGAUGAUGCAGUUGGGAUGAUGUUCACGGUUGGGAGGAGAUGGGAUGCUGGGAUUCUAUUCGUGAACGGGAGGAAUCCGGAACAAGAGGAAGGUUGGAUUCUGCUGGGAGUUUGGUUGGAUUUGUGAACGAGAUAGAUCACGAACAGGAUGAGAGCUGGUUUAGGAAAGUUGCUCGAUCUGAUCCUGGCAUUGGGGGAGAUCUCACAGACGGCUGGAACACAUGGAUGAAGCGGACGAAUGAGGGACCGUUGAGAGCGAGCUCUGUUUUGAGGUGGGGAUGGAUUACGUGGAAGAAGCUCACGGCUAGGGGACUCGUGGACACGGCUGGCAUGCUGAUCCUUGGAGCUCGGAUGGUAGGGAUUUGCUAGGGGAUUAUACGUGGACAAUUACGAAUGGGAGGGAGUUUGGGACUUAUCCAUGGAUGGUGAAGUUAAUUCGGAACAUUGGGAGGAAACGCGGAGUUCUUUGGACGGGCUCUGUUUGUUGGACACAGGGGAUCCCAUGCGAAUGUGGAGCAAGGGAGAUGAUUCGUAGAUGAGGAAGAGAACGAGGAUGAUGUGGAUUGUUCGGUUUGAAGAUUUGGAUUUAAUUUGGCUGGGCUGGGAAGAUGGUACUUGAAUUGUUUGAAAUAGGGGAAUUAAUCCUAUUCGGCUGGGAAGAGGCCAACAACUAGAAUUUUCUAAGAUCUGUGCGACUAUAAAUGAUAUACUUUGAGAUCUGAGAAACAAAUGAUUGAAGAGAUUCUAUUGUUUUUGAGGUUAAAAUAGGAGAAUUGGAACAUGUGGAAAGAGAGUUGGAACGUGGAAGAAAAUUAGGUGAUCUUGUGAAGAGUCAAUAAUUAAUAGGAAGCACUGGGUUUUGGAGGAGAGCCCUUGGAGUCGACUCCGGAGGAUGUGGAAUUGUGAAAUGAUGCAGUGUAGGUUUAGGCUUUAUCUAAUUGAGCUUGACUCGACCUGCAUACAUUAGGCUCAAUCAAUAAUCAAAAUCGAAUUAAAAUGCAUUGAUGAAGGUGAACAUAUUUUCUCAUAUUUAAACUUAAAAUAUAUAUAAAAAUACUAAUAAAUGCUAUGUAAAAUAGAUUUAUUUAUACAUUAUUUAGCACUUAUCAUACUCCCAAACCUACAUUUUGCUAGUCCUCGAGCAAAAUAGAAAAAAAAAUUAACUCAUUUUCGCAGGAAUCGCGAUUGCAUUUACUGUAUGUAAUAAGGCUUUGAAUCCCUAGGUGGCCCUAGUGGACGAGUUUGAUCUCGUGAGGGUUUCCAGCGCUGUGGAGUGAUUGAUUUGAUCCCCUAAUUUAUUUUGAUGAAUCCAAAAUACUUGAGCAUAUUUUUUGUUAUUCUAAUGAAUUCAAUAUAGUAUUUCAGGUAAAUCUUUAUUAAAUUCUGUCUAAGUGCCUUGAGCUUUGGUUCAGAGUCUUUUGGUUAAGUAAUGAACUCAGUCUGAACCAAAGUCUGCAUCACGAGUCGACUCCUGAACUCUACGAGUCGACUCCGGCACGCUUGCAAGUUUCUGAAACAAGAUCGAGUCGACUCUGAGACUCUGUGAGUCGACUCCGAUUGAGAACAGACAGAAAGACAGAACGUUGGAUUUCGAUCCUGAGAGUGAGUCGACUCCAAAAGGUUGCGAGUUGACUCCGGUGCUUGGCGAGUCGACUCCAGAUGGUUCCGAGUCGACUCCAGAAGAAGACAGUGAAAACGACAGAGAGUUGAUUUUUGAAGGCCUGAUAUCAAGUCGUCUCCACUGGAUCUAGAGUCGACUCCCAAGUUAAUUGAGUCGACUCUAGCAAGGCCCGAGUCGACUCCGAGGCAGAUCAGUUCAAAAAGACAGAGAAUCAAUUUUUCGAUCUCUGAGAGCGAGACGUCUUCCGAAGAUCUCGAGUCGCCUCUCAAGUCAGCCGAGUCGACUCCGAGCUAACCCAAGUCGACUCGAGGAAGAAAAUCAGAAAAUGGGUUCUUUGGAUUCCUGAGAACGAGCCAACUCCUAAAUGUCCGAGUCAUCUUCAACUGUUGACGAGUCGACUCCAGUUUGAUCCGAGCCGACUCCAGGACAAGGCAUGCACUUUAAUUCAAAUUUGGAACAGUGGCCGAGUCAUCUCCAGUAUAGCGCGAGUCGACUCCAGUAGCAGCCGAGUCGACUCCAGAUCGGGCGAGUCGACUUCGAUCCCAACGGAUACAUUGUCAGAUUGUGCAGAUGGGUCAGAAUGGCUCCAAAUCAUUUUCUAACGGUUAUUUUUCAAAGGGGAUCACUUAAAUAGCCAGAGUGAACAGUAGUAGAUAACAAGAGAGUCAUUCCACUUGAGCAUUAAAGUUUUUCAACCACCAAAAGCAUCCGAAGAGUGAAUUCAAGCAAAAAGAAGGGAGAAGUGCAUUCAACCAAAAAUCAAAAAGCUUCCUUCGCAUUCAAAGCUCUACCGAUUGUUCCUCAUCCUCUGGCUCACUCAAGAGGAGACUCAAAAAUCGAGAAGUCCCCACAUCAACAACUCAAAUCUGCUUGAGGGCUUCUAACUCCUCUUUGUUUAUAUUGCCCUAAAUCUGCUUUUUAGAAGCCAUAUUGUUGUAAACUUAAACUCUUGCUUUACUUCUUGGUUCAGUCAAGGGAUUGAAUCAAGGCUAGUUAGGUUUGUUGUUGAGCCAAGUUUAAAACCAACGGUGUAAGGUUGUGGUUGGUGAAUCGGAAAAAACCAACUGGGUUUGAUUGUAACCUCGGAAAAAUAAUCGUUUAGUUCUAGUCGGUGAGCCUAUCAAAACCGAUGGAGUUUGUUGUGAUCUCGUGAAAACAACAAGUUUGGUUGUGAGCUUGAAAAACAACCGAUUGUAAUCCUACGGAUUAUAGUGAACUCCCAAGUGCGGCUUGGGGAGUGGACAUAGGAGCAAGUGUUGGCUCCGAACCACUAUAAACUUCUCUGUGUUUGUAUUGGCCUUUGUCUUUUUCUCUUUCUUCAUUCAUUGCAUCUAGUGAUUUAACUAAUCCACUUGCAAUAUAUUUAGUUAAUCACUCACUUUAUUUUUAAUUGGUCAAUAAUUAAUUAAAACCCAAUUCACCCCCCCUCUUGGGUUGUUCCUUGGGCAACAAGUGGUAUCAGAGUAGGUGCUCUUAUAUUGAUUGAUGUUCCAAUCUUCAAAAGGAGUAAAAGAUUUAGAUGGCAACCCCUUUUGAAUCUUUCCUUAGUGAGGGGCAAUCUACCAAUAGGUCUCCAUUGUUCAAUGGAGCUAACUAUACCUAUUGGAAGGCUAGAAUGAGGAUAUUCAUUUAAGCCCAAGAUUAUGAUGUUGGGAUCAUCAUAAUUAAUGGACUACAUAUUCCUUCUAUCUAUAUUGAUAACAUUGCUAUAUCCAAGCUUGAAAAAGAUUGAGAUGAUAACGAUAGAAGGAAGGCACAACUAAAUGCCAAAGCAAUGAAUGUGCUUUAUUGUGCCUUGGACCCUAAUGAAUUCAAUAGGAUCUCCACCUGUAAUUCUGCCAAAAAAAUAUGACAUAGUUUUGAGGUUACCCACGAGGGUACAAAUCAAGUCAAAGAGUCUAAAAUUAACAUGCUAGUUCGUAAGUAUAAACUAUUUAAGAUGGAGUCUAAUGAAAUUAUUACUUGCAUGUUCACCUGAUUUACUGAUAUUGUCAAUGACCUAAAAAGCUUUGGUAAAAGUUAUUCUAACGGUGACCUUGUUAGGAAGGUUCUUCGCUCGUUACCUAGGUCAUGGGAAGCCAAGGUCACGGUAAUCCAAGAAGCAAAAGACUUAAACACGCUGCCACUCGAGGAGCUCUUUGGAUCGCUAAUGACGCAUGAGCUCACAAUGAAACAGCACAGCGAGGAAGAAUCCUCCCAUAAGAAAAAGGUAAUAGCCCUCAAGACUAUCUCCUCUAACAAAGAUUCCUCUUGCAGCAGCAGUAGUGAGGAAGAAGACAAUGAGGAAGAUGAAGAAGAGGCUCUCCUUGUGCGAAAAUUCAGAAGAUUCAUCAAUAGGAAGAAGCCUUUCCACAAGAAGAGAUUUCCUUCGAGUUCCUUCCAUAAGAAUAAAGGUAAAGAAAGAAAAAGUGAGGAAAUCGGAUGCUACGAAUGCAAGAAGCCGGGUCAUUUUAGAGCCGACUGCCCCUUGCUUAAGAAGGUCAACAAGCACAAGAAGAAGAAAACUCUUUUCACUAUCUGGACUGACUCCGAUGAGUCAUCAUCAUCGGAAGAGGAAUAAGAGGAGAAGGCCAAUUUCUGCUUUAUGGCCGACGAAAAUGAGGUAAUGUCUGAAACUCAUUUAGAUUUCACUUUUGAAGAGUUGUAUGAUGCUUUUAAUGAGCUAAUGGAUGAAUAUAGGAUAAUAACUUUUAAAAACAAAGAACUGAAGCUAUCUAAUCAAUCUUAUAUUCAUAAAACUGAAAUCUUAAUUAAAGAUAAAGAAAGAUUAACUAAGAAAAUUUCUGAACUUAAAAAUAGUAAUCAGACUUUAAAAGAUAAUUCAACUAAUAAUGUUAAAUCAUUGAAUGAAGAAAACUUGAAAUUAACUAAAGAAGUUGAAAAAUACAAAUCUAUAGUUGAAAAAUUUAUCCAUAGUUCAGAAAAACCUCAAAUAAUAUUAAAUAAUCAAAGAGCUGUGUUUAACAAAGCCGGUUUAUGGUACAAACCAAAGAAUAAGCAAAAAUUACUCAAAAACUUCUUUGUAAAAGCUGGAGAAAGCAAACUCAAAAAUAUAACUUGUUUUUGCUGUGGUAGAGUAGGACAUAAAGUUAAUGUAUGUAACUACAGAAAAAAAGAAACUAAAAUAAAAUUAAAAAGAGUUUGGCUUCCAAAAGGAACCACAUUAACUAAUCAUGAAGGACCCAAGAGAUCUUGGGUACCUAAGGUUGUUUGAUUUCCUUGUGUAUAGAAGUGUCUUGCGGCCAAGCUCAACAAACGCAAUUGGUACUUUGAUAGUGGCUGUUCAAGAUAUAUGGCGAAUGACAAGGAACAAUUCUUCACCCUAGAAGUAAAGAAAGGAGGUGUGGUGACCUUUGGAGAUAAUGCCCAAGGUCACAUUGUAGGUAUCGGUAAAAUUCAGAUCUCACCCUCCUCUUUCAUUGAUAAUGUAUUGUUAGUAAAUGGACUUAAGCAUAAUCUACUUAGUAUUAGCCAAUUAUGUGAUAGAGGAUAUGAUGUUGCAUUUAAAUCAUCCAUUUGCAUAGUAACCAAUCCAAUUGACAAUAGCAUAGUUUUCAAAAGACUGAGACGUGGCAAUGUUUAUAUAGUAGAUCUUGAUGAUCUUGCUAAAAAUAGCCAUUGCUUAGUAGUGAAUGAUGCUAAGGUCAAUGAGGCAAGUUGGUUAUGGCAUCGUAGAUUAGGUAAUGCAAGCAUGGAUACAUUGUCUAAAUUAAUUAAAAAAGAUUCUGUGAUUGGUUUGCCAAAGCUGAAAUUUGUGAAAGAUAAAAUUUGUAGAGCAUGUCAAUUUGGCAAAUAAUCUCAAAGUUCUUUCAAGUCUAUAAACCGUGUUUCUACAACUAGACCUCUUGAGCUACUUCACAUGGAUCUCUUUGGACCAACUAGGACCACAAGUCUUGGUGGAAAGAAGUAUAGUCUUGUGAUAAUAGAUGAUUUCUCUAGAUUCACAUGGGUCAUGUUUUUAGCUCAUAAAGAUGAAGCAUUUUCAUUGUUUAGAAAAUUCCAUAAGGAAGUAACUAAUAUAAAAAAUACUUCAGUUAUAGCUAUUAGGAGUGAUCAUAGAACAGAAUUUUCAUUGUUUAUAGCUAUUAGAAAAUUCUUUUUUUUGAAAAAUUUUGUAGUAAAAAGGGCAUAACUCAUAAUUUUUCUGCAUCUAGGACUCCACAACAAAAUGGAGUGGUAGAAAGAAAGAAUAGAACUCUAAAAGAAAUGGCUAGGACCAAGUUGUGUGAAAGUGAUCUUCCAAAGUACUUUUGGGCUGAAGCUAUUAAUACAUCAUGUUAUAUUCUAAAUAGACUUUUGUUGAGACCAAUUAUAAAGAAAACUCCUUAUGAACUUUGGAUCGAUAGAAAAUCCAAAGUAAACUACUUUCCGAUGAAGGUAUCUUUUUGGGAUACUCUACAUCAAGUAGGGCAUAUAAAGUCUUCGACAAAAGAACUCUUGUUGUUGAAGAAUCUAUUCAUAUUAUUUUUGAUGAGACUAAUGAUGCUUCCACUAGCAAAGAAGUCGCUUUUGAUGAUGAUGCAGGGAUACUUGAAGAAAAGAUGGAUGACAUGACCUUGCAAGAGGAUGAACCAAAUCAAAUUGAAGAGACUUAAGGAUGAUAGUGUUAUUUUGAUGAUUAAGACAACCAUUGAGAAAAUAUCUAAUUAAGUACUAUAAGUUAACAUCAUUACUGAGUUCGACACUCUCGAUACAUUAGAAGAAUGAGAUCAAGAUGCCUUUCAAUGAUUAAUAAUGAGAUAAAAUUUGUAAUAGAAAAGGGAUAGAGAAUUCUAAAUUCUAAUUCAGCAAAGUUUCAAGUGAAAUGUACUCUUAAGGACAAAAUAGUAAUUCUCAUCGUUAAGAGUAUGUAGCACUACCAUGGCAUACAUUCAAAAUUGCUUGAAUAUAUUUUAUUGAUUGUAUGGAUGAGUCUAACCUUAAGAUGCAGCAAAGUAUGGAAUGAGUCGACCCCAACAUAGGUGGAGUCGACCCUGGCACAUCAUGGAACCAUCAGGCACACCUCUGCGAAAAUGGCAUGGAUGAACAGUAGUGGAGUCGACCCUAAGUAUGCUUGAGUCGACCCCAGGAACAGAGCCGAUCCCAAAGAACCUUGAGUCGACCCUAGCUUCAAGCCUCAAGAAAACAAGUCUCUGAAAUUUACUGAGAGGGCCGACCCCAACUUUCCUUGAGCCGACCCCAGAUGGAGCCGACCCCAAGAAUGCUUGAGUCGACCCCAAUGGAGUCGACCCCAAGUGGACAUGAGUCGACCCCAAGGCUAUGUCGUCCAAAACUGUGUCUCUGGAAUUCCUGAGAGGGUCGACCCCAAUGGAACUUAAGUCGACCCCACUGUAGCUUGAGUCGACCCUAGUGAAAAACAGCUGAAAUACAAGGUUCUGUGAUUCCUGAGAGGGCCGACCCCGCUGUAGCAGGAGUCGACCCUAGUAAAAAUUGGGUCGACCCCAGUGGAAGUUGAGUCGACCCCAAGUAUGAUGAACAGUGGUUUGAGUCGAUCCCAGAAAGUUUGGGUCGACCCCAGCACGGGCAGAAGCAUAAUGGCUAGUUCUGCAGAAGUACUUUUUGACCUUCCAACGGCUAGUAACAGAUAGUUUUUCAAAUCUAACCAAUGGGGACUAACCUAAACAUGUGGAAAAGUAUUUAUAAUGACACUAUUCAUCAGAACAAGUUAUCCUUUGCAUGAAAAUCAAAGUUUACUCAAGAAAGAUAAAGCCCUAGUAUUCUUCAUCGAGGUGCUUCAUUUAAGAGUCAAAAGGACGUGGUUGAGCAGAUCAAAAGAGGUAUUAAGAGCUCCACCAACCCUUGAAGAGUGAAGCAUUCCUUGACAAAGAAGAGAAGAGCCUUAUCAAAGCGAUAACUAUAUUCUAACUCUUCUUUGUAACUUAUAAUUAUUAUAUCUGCUCAUCUAGGAGUUUCAAUCUUCUUCUUCUUAACAAUCUUGUAAGGUUUGUUGGUGAGCCCAUAAAACCAAUGGUGUAGGUUUAUUGGUGAACCCGUAAAACCAACGGUGAAGGUUUGUUGGUGAGCCCGUAAAACCAACAUAGGUUUUUGGUGAUCCCGGAAAACCAAGUGUAAAGGUUUUUGGAUUGUGAGCCCGAAAAAUAAUCCAACUGUAAUCCGCAGGAUUAUAGUGAAUUCCCAAGGGAUCGCUUGGGGAGUGGAUGUAGGUGCAUAGGAAAGCACCGAACCACUAUACUUCUUGUUGUUUGUAUUGUGUAUUGUUCUAACUUCACUAUUUGCACUUAAUCUAUAUUAACUAAAUUACUCACUCAUCAAUUAACAUAAUUAAGGAAUCAAAAAUCAAGAAAAACCAAUUCACCCCCCCUCUUGGCUGUCACCUUGGGCAACAAGUGGUAUCAGAGCAAGGUGCUCUUAUAAUAUUUGUUGAUCUUACGAUCAAGAGUCAAAGAUCAUAACAACCCAAGUAGGAUGUUCUAUUAGCGAGGGACAAUCCACAAAUAGACCAUCCUUGUUUAAUAGCACUAAUUAUACUUAUUGAAAAGCUAGAAUGAGGAUACUCAUUCAAGCACUAGACUAUGACAUGUGGAACAUCGUAACUAGGGGGCCACACACACCCACAGUUAGUAUAGAGGGCACAAUCAUUCCUAAGCCUGAAAUGGAUUGGAAUGAGAGUGAUAGAAGACUUGCACAAUUAAAUGCUAAAGCAAUUAAUGUACUUUACUGCUCACUAGAUAUAAGUGAAUUUAAUAGAAUAUCUGCAUGCAUCUCUGCGAAAGAAAUUUGGGAUAAACUAGAGGUCACACAUGAAGAAACUAAUCAAGUCAAAGAGUCAAAAAUAAAUAUAUUAGUACAUAAGUAUGAAUUAUUUAAAAUGAAAUUCACUGAGUCCAUAACUGAAAUAUUCACUUGAUUCACUGAAAUCAUAAAUGGACUAAAGAGUUUGAAAAAGUCUUAUGCUAACUUUGAACUAGUGCGAAAAAUUCUCAGGUCUCUACCAAGAGUUUGGGAGGCCAAAGUAACUGCAAUUCAAGAAGCAAAGGAUCUCAAUACAUUGCAAUUGGAAGAACUUCUAAGAUCACUCAUGACCUAUGAGCUGCCAUGAAACAAAACUCAGAAGAGGAGGUUAAGAAAAGGAAGACCAUUGCCUUGAAGUCUACAACUCUAAAGCAGGAAACUGAAUCAGAGGAGUCCGAUGAUGAGGAGGAAUAUGAUGAAGAAGGAAUAACAAUGCUUGCAAGAAAAUUUAAAAAAUUCAUGAAAGGUAAAAAAAAAUUCUAUAAAAGAAAACCUUUCGUAAGAGGUAGCUCAAGCCAGGAAAAGAAAAAAGAAAAAGAAAAGAAAAAAGAAGUGCCAAUAUGCAAUGAGUGUAGCAAGCCCGGGUACUUUAAGAUAGAUUGCCCGGAAUUGAAAUGGAUGGCAAGAAAACUUAAAAAGAGGAACCUUAUGGCUGAAUGGAGUGAAAGUGAAGAGUCAAGUUUGGAAGAGGAAGAUCAACAAGAGACGGUCCAAAUCUGCUACAUGGCCAAUGACGAUGAGGAGUAUUUUACAGCUAAUAAGAGGAAUAAACGAUGGUAUCUAGAUAGCGGCUGUUCAAGACAUAUGACAAGUGACAUAGAACAAUUCGUCACCUUGGAAUCUAAGAAGGGUGGAAUGGUAAACUAUGGAGAUACAGGGAAAAGAACUUAUCAUUGGAAAGGGUAAAAUCUAUAUCACUCCAUCCACAUUUAUAGAAAAUAUUUUAUUAGUUAAUGGUCUGAAACAUAACUUGCUUAGCAUAAGUCAAUUUUGUGAUAAAGGUCUUAAAGUCACAUUUGAAGCUUCAGUAUGCGUAAUUACAAAUCUAAAAGAUAAUAGCAUUGUACUUAUGGGACAUAGGCAUGGAAAUAUUUAUAUGGUAGAUCUUCAUGAUUUAGGCAAGAAAAAUGGAUUAUGCUUAAUUACUAAUGAAGAAAGGAAAAGUGAAACAAGUUAGCUUUGGCACCGUAGACUAGGAUAUGCUAGUAUGGACUUAAUAUCAAAACUAGUCAAGAAAGAUCUGAUAAAAGAUGUGCCAAAAUUAAUCUUUAAAAAAGACAAAAUCUGUGGACCAUGCUCAUUGGAAAAGCAAACAAAAUCAUCCUUCAAAUCAAAGAAUAUAGUAUCAACCACUAGGCCCUUUGAACUCAUACACAUGGAUCUAUUUGGGCCUACUAGAACUGCAAGUCUAGAAGGNNNNNNNNNNNNNNNNNNNNNNNNNNNNNNNNNNNNNNNNNUACAUGGGUUUCAUUUCUUGCACAUAAGAGUGAAGCAUUUUCAGCAUUCUUGAAAUAUUAUAAAAAUAUCAUAACUGAAAAAAGCUCACCUUAAUUGCAAUUCGAAGUGAUCAUGGAACUGAAUUUGAAAAUCAAUACUUUGAAGAAUUUUGUAAUAAAAAUGGUAUCUUCCAUCAAUUUUCAACACCUAGAACGCCUCAACAAAAUGGGAUUGUUGAAAAAAAAAUAGAACCUUGGCAGAGAUGGCAUGCACGAUGUUGUAUAAGUCAAAUAUUCCAAAGUACUUUUGGGCUGAAGUUGUAAGUACUGCUUACCAUAUUUUAAAUCGUAUUUUAAUACGACCUAUAACCAAGAAAACUUCCUAUGAACUUUGGAAGAAUAGGAAGCCAACUGCUAAAUAUCUUAGAGUAUUUGGAUGUAGAUGUUUCAUUUUAAACAAUGGCAAGGAGGAUCUAAGUAAAUUUGAUGCCAAGUUAGAUGAAGGUAUCUUUUUAGGAUACUCUACAUCUAGUAGGGCAUACAGAGUAUUCAACAAAAGAACUCUUAUAGUUGAAGAGUCAAUUCAUAUCAUUUUUGAUGAGUCUGAUAGUGAGUCUCCUAGAAGAGAAAAUACUUCUGAUGAUGAUGUAGGAAUUCUUGAGUUCGAAAAAUUGAAUCUUAAUGACGUACCAAAUCAAGAAAAGAAAGAUGAUCAUGUACCACCACACUCUCAAGACUUGCAAAAGGGAUGGAGGUAUGCACAUGGACAUCCUAAAGAUUUAAUCAUUGGUGAUCCAUCUCAAGGGGUAAGAACUCGAUCAUCUCUUAGAAAUAUAAAUGACUAUCUUGCUUUUGUUUCACAAAUAGAACUUAAGAAUUAUGAAGAAGCUGAAAAAGACGUAAAUUGGAUAAAUGCUAUGCAAGAAGAAUUAAAUCAAUUCCAAAGAACAAUGUAUGGACAUUAACUGAGAGACCAAAGCAUAAUUCUGUAAUUGGAACAAAAUGGAUCUUUAGAAAUAAAUUAGAUGAAAAUGGGGUAGUUAUAAGAAGUAAAGCUAGACCUGUAGCUAAGGGAUACAAUCAAGAAGAAGGGAUAGAUUUUGAGAAAAUAUUUGCUCCCGUAGCCAGAUUAGAAGCUAUUAGAUUACUUCUAGCUUUUGCAUGCUUCAUGAAUUUCAAAUUAUAUCAAAUGGGCGUAAAAAGUGCCUGCUUAAAUGGUUAUAUAGAGGAAGAAGUAUAUGUAGAGCAACCUCCUGGUUUUGAGAAUCAUGAAUUGCCAAAUCAUGUGUUUAGAUUACAUAAAGCAUUAUAUGGAUUGAAAUAAGCACCUAGGGCUUGGUAUGAUCGAUUAAGCAAAUUUCUGCUAAAUAAUGAUUUCAGUACAGAAAAUGUAAAUAAAAUACUUUUUCUCAAAAAAAAAAGACAAAAAUUUGCUAGUAGUAUAAAUAUAUGUAGAUGACAUAAUCUUUGGUGCAACUAAUGAUGAUCUUUGCAAAGAGUUUGCUAAAUUAAUGCAAGAAGAAUUCGAGAUGAGAUGAUGGGAGAACUAAAUUUCUUUCUUGGAUUACAAAUCAAGCAAACUAAGGAAGGCAUCUUUAUUCAUCAAACUAAGUACACAAAGGAAAUACUAAAGAAGUUUGGGAAUAAAAAUCACAAGGGGAUAGACACUCCUAUGAACCCCACUAAUAAACUAGACAAAGAUGAAAAAGAAAAAAGUAUAGAUAUGAUGCUCUAUAGAGGAUUAAUUGGAUCUUUGCUUUACCUAACUGUCAGUAGGCCAGACAUAGUAUUUAGUGUAGGAAUAUGUGCUAGAUACCAAUCAAAUCCUAAGAAAUCAUAUUUAAGUGUUGUCAAAAGAAUCCUUAUAUUUGAGAGGAACCACAAAUAUAGGAUUAUGAUACUCUAGAGAUUUCUGUAUUGAUUUGCUUGCAUAUUCUGAUGCAGAUUUUGCUGGAUGCAAAUUAGAUAGGAAGAGCACCAGUGGAACAUGUCAAUUCUUAGGAAAUAAUUUAGUAUCAUGGUUUAGCAAAAAUAGAAUUUAGUAGCAUUGUCAAUAGCUGAGGCCGAGUAUAUAGCUGCCGGAAGUUGCUGUGCUCAAGUACUAUGGCUCAAGCAACAACUAGAGGACUAUGAAAUUAAAUUAGACAACAUUCACAUAAAGUGUGAUAACACUAGUGCCAUUAACCUUACCAAAAAUCCGGUUCAGCACUCUAAAGCCAAGCACAUUGAAAUAAGGUAUCAUUUCAUUAGAGAUCAUGUGCAAAAUGGAAACAUAUGUAUUGAGCAUGUAUGUACCGAGAAAUAAUUAGUUGACAUAUUCACAAAACCUUUAAGUGAAGAUAGAUUUUGCAUCCUUAGGAGGAAAUUAGGCAUAUGUGAUCCCUUUGAUUGAGAGGAAAUGGAAGGAACAAGUUGCCUUAUGAUACUCCUCUCUUAUUUUGAAAAUCCCAUGAAACAUGAGUAAAAUUAUUCAUUUCUAGAUUCCUUACUAACAUAUCAAUGUCCCACAAAGAUUUGGCAAGGAUCGAAAGAAAGAAUUAUUUUUUUUUGGCUGAACUAGGGCCGACCCCAGCCAGAAUGGGGUCGACCCCACGUUGAGUCGACCUUAGCAGAAACUGGGGUCGACCCAACGACGGGACCCCACUUUUAAAAGGAGACCCGUGAGCUAUUUUAGGGCACUGUUUCAUCUUGUCCUCUUCCUAAAAUUCUAUUUUUCACUUUCCAAUCUCUUCAAAUUAUCUCCAAACAGUAGAAGAUUGCUUCUCCAAACCGUUGGAUCAAGACCUAAGAAAGCAUUUGGUGAAAAUGGAACUCAAGCGAGCCGUUGCUAAGAGAUCCGGAAGAGUUUCACGGCCAACCCUUGUAGAUAGACAUGCUAGAGAUUCUUCUACAGUGCCCCCACAAGGUGAGACACGUGUAGAGGCUCCUCCACCUCCUUCCCCUUCAGUUCAACUUGCUAAAUAUACAGGAAGAUCGGUAACCACGGGGAGAAGGAUCCACUCCGAAUUUUUGGAUCAAGAAGAGUUCCGUUUGGGGGAUUGGAUCCGAAGGCAAGGAUGGGAGUAUCUUUGCUCCCUAGACUUGGUGACCUAUCCGGGCUUAGUUCGUGAGUUCUAUACCUUCCUAAAAGUUGGAAUGGGAGGGCUUGUGUCUGAGGUCCGAGGAGUAAGGGUUAGGGUCUCGGAAGAAAGUUUGAGUGAGUUGCUUCAUCUUCCCUGCGAAGGUGCAACUCCAGAAAGACCGAAAAGCAAGUUGAGAGCUCUAUAGUUGAUCUUUGAGAGAGAUGAUUUUGACUACUCCGAAAAUGUGAUAGCUAGCUCUCUAUCAGCUGAGAUGAGGUUGUUGCACAACUUCAUAGAUCGGAUUUUGUUUCCGAAGAGUGUGAGAUUUGAUUACAUAUCUGAGCGAGAUUUGAUCAUUAUGGAGCACGUCAUUCAGGGCAUAUCCCUGAACCUCCCAGCUAUGAUGAUCAGGCAGAUGAGAGAGGCUAUAUGCAAAUCGAGAGUUUUUCUGCCCUAUGGUAUGAUACUCACCUUGGCCUUCCGACAGCAUGACAUAUCUAUGGAGGGAGAGAUCUCCAGGCAUCUAUUAUUCACUGACACUUACACUGCACGGUCCCUAGUUCGCAUGGGUUAUGGAAGGUGAACGGGCAGUGGGUGCGUGCUGGAGCAGGGAUACAUGCAUAGGAGGGUGAUGCACCAAAGGUUGGAGACCCCAUCCCUGAGACUGAGGUACCUGAGGAUCAUCCUAUGGCACCUUCAGAGGCUGGACCUUCGUUAUCCGUACCUACGGGAUGUACAGAGGAGUUUUGGAGUAGGAUGACUGAGCUUGUGUCAGCUCAGAUGAGGACUCUCUCUGACGGAUUGACGAGUAGGAUGGACAUUAUGACUGCUGAGAUUAGAGACCUCAGAGAGCAGGUGGGAGCAUUACAGAGAGAGAGAGGCUCAUGGUCCAUCUUGCCCCGAGCAGCUGAGUCGGAGGUUUCGGCACAGAGUCAUCCAGCUUAGCGAGGUCCACGCCAGACUCAGUCCCAUCAGGCUCGACCUCCCCUCGCCACUUAUGUUAGAAGGAUGAGGACUAGAUCACAGCCAUUAGAUACCCCCUAGGCUGAUGUUAGCAUUAUAAUUAGUGCUUAGGAUUUAUCUAGUUCUCAUAUGUAUUUUGCUUUGUUGAUGUACUUUGCACUUUGAUUGAAGAACAUUGUACUUUUGGCUUUAAUGUAUUACAAUGUCCAUUUUGAUCAAUGGAAUUUGAAUUUUUAUCUUUUACUGUUUCUACUCAUCUAUUGCUAUACACUUGUUUGAUGAUAACAAAAAGGAGGAGAAGUAAGAAAAGAAAGAAGUUGCAAUAUAAAGGGACAAAUAAGUUUGAAAAUUAUAGUAAGGGACAAUAUUCACUUAAGGGGGAGCAACAUGUAACAAUGCAAAUUUUUAAAAAUAAGAAAGUCUAAAUUUUUAAUCAAAAUUUCUGAAUUUGGCACGUACCUCUCAUGCCUCGAUACAUAACCUGAAACUCUUGCUUUAUCUUAAAUUUUUGAAGUUUCAUCUUUAACCAAAUACAAAAUAAAGGGGAAAAAAUCAAAAGUUCUAAUUGGCAAUAUUUGGAUGAAAGAGGGGAAGACUUCACUUUCAAAUUUGAAAAGCUGAAAUUCAGCAACUUGAGCUCUUCUAAAACAAAUUUUCUAAUUUUAAGAUAAGUAUCAAUCUGCUCAUACUCAAUAUUUUGUAAUCAUCAAAAAGGGGAAGAUUGAGGAUGAUAGUGUUAUUUUGAUGAUUAACACAACCAUUGAGAAAAUAUCUAAUUAAGUACUACAAGUUAACAUGAUACAUCAUUACUGAGUUCGACACUCUCGAUACAUUAGAAGAAUGAGAUCAAGAUGCCUUUUAAUGAUUAAUAAUGAGAUAAAAUUUGUAAUAGAAAAGGAAUAGAGAAUUCUAAAUUCUAAUUCAGCAAAGUUUCAAGUGAAAUGUACUCUUAAGGGCAAAAUAGUAAUUCUCAUUAUUAAGAGUAUGUAGCACUACUAUGGCAUACAUUCAAAAUUGCUUGAAAUAUAUUUCAUUGAUUGUAUGGAUGAGUCUAACCUUAAGAUGCAGCAAAGUAUGGAAUGAGUCGACCCCAACAUAGGUGGAGUCGACCCUGGCACAUCAUGGAACCAUCAGGCACACCUCUACAAAAAUGGCAUGGAUGAACAGUAGUGGAGUCGACCCCAAGUAUGCUUGAGUCGACCCCAGGAACGGAGCCGACCCCAAAGAACCUUGAGUCGACCCCAGCUUCAAGCCUCAAGAAAACAAGUCUCUGGAAUUUACUGAGAGGGCCGACCCCAACUUUCCUUGAGCCAACCCCAGGAAUGUUUGAGUCGACCCCAAUGGAGUCGACCCCAAGUGGACAUGAGUCGACCCCAAGGCUAUGUCGUUCAAAACUGUGUCUCUGGAAUCCCUGAGAGGGUCGACCCCAAUGGAACUUGAGUCGACCCUACUAUAGCUUGAGUCAAUCACAAAAAGAGUUGAGUCGACCCUCGUAANNNNNNNNNNNNNNNNNNNNNNNNNNNNNNNNNNNNNNNNNNNNNNNNNNNNNNNNNNNNNNNNNNNNNNNNNNNNNNNNNNNNNNNNNNNNNNNNNNNNNNNNNNNNNNNNNNNNNNNNNNNNNNNNNNNNNNNNNNNNNNNNNNNNNNNNNNNNNNNNNNNNNNNNNNNNNNNNNNNNNNNNNNNNNNNNNNNNNNNNNNNNNNNNNNNNNNNNNNNNNNNNNNNNNNNNNNNNNNNNNNNNNNNNNNNNNNNNNNNNNNNNNNNNNNNNNNNNNNNNNNNNNNNNNNNNNNNNNNNNNNNNNNNNNNNNNNNNNNNNNNNNNNNNNNNNNNNNNNNNNNNNNNNNNNNNNNNNNNNNNNNNNNNNNNNNNNNNNGCUUCAUUCAAGAGUCAAAAGGAAGUGGUUGAGCAGAUCAAAAGAGGCAAUAAGAGCUCCACCAACCCUUGAAGAGUGAAGCAUUCCUUGACAAAGAAGAGAAGAGAUUUAUCAGAGCGAUAACUAUAUUCUAACUCUUUUUUGUAACUUAUAAUUGUUAUAUCUGCUCAUCUAGGAGUUUCAAUCUUCUUCUUCUUCUUAACAAUCUUGUAAGGUUUGUUGGUGAGCCCGUAAAACCAACCGUGUAGGUUUGUUGGUGAACUCGUAAAACCAACGGUGAAGGUUUGUUGGUGAGCCCGUAAAACCAACAUAGGGUUUUGGUGAUCCCGGAAAUCCAAGUGUAAAAAUUUUUGGAUUGUGAGCCCGAAAAACUAUCCAACUGUAAUCCGCGGGAUUAUAGUGAAUUCUCAAGGGGUCGCUUGGGGAGUGCACUUAAGAUUUGAUGUCAGAAGAAGAGCCUUGAAUGCGAAGGAAAGACUUCUAGGAAUGUAUUGAAUGCGUUUCUUCCUUCUUUUUCUUGUCUUUUCUCUCAAUAGACUCUUGGUAGCUGGAAAACACUUAAUGCACAGUUGGAGUAACUCUCCUUUUUAUUUACUACUGUUUACUCUGGCUAUUUAAACAGUCCCACUUGAAAAAUAGCCGUUAGACACUGAUCCGUUCUGCACAGUCUGCACUUUCUGACAAUGUAUCCGUUGGGAUCGGAGUCGACUCGCUCGAUCUGGAGUCGACUCGGCUGUUGCUGGAGUCGACUCAUGCUUUACUGGAGAUGACUCACCCACUGUUCAGGAUUUGAAUUAAAGUGCUGUCCUGUCCUGGAGUCGACUCGGGCCAAACCUGGAGUCGACUCGCCAUGAUCUGGAGAUGACUUGGCAUUUUGGAGACGACUCGUUCUCAGGAUUCUAGAGAUCUAUUUUUCUGCAUUUCUCUCUCGAGUCGACUCGGAUCAUCUUGGAGUCGACUCGGCUCUUAGAGACCGAAAAACUGAUCCUCUGUCUUUCAAGUUGAACUGCCUUGGAGUCGACUCGCACUUUAUUGGGGUCGACUCCGCAUUCUCGGAGUCGAUUUGUUCACAGAGUCACUUUGCUUGGUUUUCUGUCUUUCAGUCUGCUUUCCUCUGAGAGUCGACUCUGGCAUAUUUAGGAGUCGACUCGCCAAACGUUGGAGUCGACUCGCAUCCUUUUGGAAUCGACUCGGUAACAGGGUCUAGAAAACACUUCUCUGUCUUUCUAUCUGUUACUCCUUGGAGUCGACUCGGAACCUUUGGGAGUCGACUCGGCAAGCAUCGGAGUCGACUCGAAAUCUUCGGAGUCGACUCGGUGACAGGGUCUGAAAUUCAUCUUUCCGUCCUUCUGUCUGUUCUCAGUCGGAGUCGACUCGUAGUGUACCGGAGUCGACUCGAGCUUGUGCCAGAGCGUCUAAAACACUAGAGUCGACUUGCAAUCUUCCGGAGUCGACUCGAGCUUCAGACUUUGGCUUAAUAGAGUUCAACACUUAGCCAAAUGACUUUGAACAAAAACUCGAUGCUCUUAAAGAUAAAUUCACAUAUAUUUGCCUGAAACACUAGAUUGAAUUCAUUAGUAUAACAUAAAAUAUACUCAAAUGCUUUGAGCUCAUCAAAAUCAAAUAGGGGUAUAAUCAAUCACUCCACAGAUUCGUUGCCUUGUAUGCGUGUACGGUCUCCUGUGCAGGCAUCCGGCAUAUGCCAUGGUCCGGGCUCGGGGCAUAACAAAAUCUGAAUCGAAAUUGGAGUAGAUUGAAAUAGGAAUCGAAGUCGGAAUCGGAAAAUCAAUUAAAUAGAGAGAUAUUUUUAAAAAAUCAAUUAAACAGAGGGGUACUAUUGGAAAAUUAUUUUUUAAACUAAAUCUAAUGUAAUGAAAUUUGAAUAUUGAGAGGAAAGGAGAGAUUAAAUUUUGGGGAGAUUGGAGCAUUAAAUGAAAAUAGGACUCCCCCCAAAUUCCUAACUAAACAUUUGGAGUAGGAGUAGCUCAUUCAUAUUUUUAAUUUUAGAGCCCAACUACUUCCGACCAACUAAAUAUAUUUAAGAAGUAAUGUGACAAAAAGAAAACGGAUCAACAGCCCCCAUCGCUCCUUUUUCAUGAUAUUUCCUUUUCCAAGCAAUUAUUAUAUUAAAGUUUGCAACAAACAUGAAGGGACAUGGAAAUUAGUUUCGAUGGGACCUAUAGCUGAUUAUUUAUAUACGUGGGCGCCCACACCCACCAACCGGUUGUCCUUUAUUUAAGUCAAUCAUUUUCACGCGGAUCAUGGCGGAUAUCCUCGUACGUGGCAUGGAAAGCUUUAAUCCCCCCCUAGAGAACGUUUACUUCAUAAUUUCGUUCAAUCUUGGUCCUCCCUAAUUCUGGCCGUUGAGAGAAGAAUAGCAAGCAUCGAUCUGGGUUGUCUUCAUAGACAUGUGGUGUCUGUUCGGCAGGACGGGACCCUCUGGGUUCUCAGCUGCUUCAACGGCAGAGGAAGUCACAGAGGGAAUAGAUGGGACCGGCCUCACAGCCAUCGUCACUGGUUCUUUCUCUAGUUUUUAUUAUUAUGUUAGUUUGUUUGUGUAUUCACUUUUUAGGUUUCCAGUUUGAAGAAUUUUAGUGAGGAUGUGUGCAUGACAGUCCGCGUUCUCUUGCUUUGCAGUUUGAUGAUUUUUCUUUUUCUUCUUCUUUUCCACCUUUUGUUUUGCAACGCUUACUGUUCUUGGGGCGGGUAUUAGGUGUCAAAGAUCGUGAGAUCAUUUCUUAUAUAUGAAAACAAUCAACAUUUCUUACAUAUGAAAAAAUCAUGUCAGCUCACCAGAGUAUAAAUCCAGUACAUCCGAGAGUUUAACAGUACUUUGUUAGUUGGAAAUUCUAUUAGCCAGGAUUGGCUGCUGCCAGGCUCUCCUAUCACACCCCGAGCCCAAAGCGCGAUAGACGCCGCACGCCCGCACGGCGGACCGUACGGGCGUGUAAGGCAGUUAAUCAUAUCAAAGCAAUUACACAUGCUUAAAAAUUUACUUAAAUAGUAAUAUAUUCAAAACAAUCUUAUAAAGUUUCAAAAUAGUAUACAUCAACAUAAUUCAAAUAUUUUAGCUAGUCUAACCAAAAUUCUAUUUUUUUGGCAAAAUCUUCCAAAAAUCUAUCGUACUCUCCAAUCCCGUGCGAUCAAGCCUUUGGAUCUGAAAAAUAGACAAAAUAGGAUAAUGAGCUACACUAGCUCAGUAAGCAACAUAAUAUCCUAAGUAGGAUCAAAGCAUAUCAGAUAUUUAAUCAAAACAUAAAAUAGUGACUGGGAAUUAAGUCACAAAUAAGUAUAUUUUUCUUUUCGAAACUUAUUAUCAUUUUUACAAAAAUUUUGAUAUCAGACUCCCAAUAUUAAUAGGCUACGGCCACGUAACCCAGUGGCAUAGGUUGUACAAGUGCCAAAAAUCAAUAUUGUUAACCACCGGUGGCAACGGUGUUCAAAAACCACUAUUCUAAUUAUCGGUGGCAACGGUAUCCAAAAACCAUUGUUCUAAUCACCAGUGGCAAUGGUGUUGAAACUAGUCUCUCACAGAUAUAAGUCGAUAGGGCCAACAAAUAAUCCCCAUUGGGAGGGCUAGAACAUAACCAUGCUGCAAAUAGAUACAUGCAAAAUAGAUAACUGGCCCAGUCAAAGUUUACAUAAUUCAUAGCAUAUAACAAAAUUGUCAAAUAGUAUUUAAUAUGCCAGGCCCAUUUUACUAAGUACAAAACAUAUCUCAAAAUUUAAUCCGCUGAUAAAAUAAUUUAAAAAAUACACUUUGAAGUAUUAAGUUACUUACCUUUUUUUGCUUAAAUCCCACUUCAUACAAACGGGUCAGAUACACCUAUUUAAAUAUCAUUAAAAUAUAAUUAAUUUCUUUAUUAAUCUGAGGGCUAAGCAAAGCCAAAAAUACUAUUGGACAUGGUCCAAUAGGAUCCCGCACAGCUGAACUGAGCCCAAGUUGGGCCCACAAUGGGUAUGGCCCAAAUAGGCCCCAACAAGGCUGGACUGGGCCCAAGUUGGGCCCACAAAAGGUAUGGCCCAACUGUGCCCAAGUUAGGCCCACAAUGAACAGAGCCCAAGCUUGGCCCAGUUCGGCCCACGAUGGGCCUACUCUUUUUCUUUUCUUUUCUUCCUUUUCUUUUCUUCUUUUCUUUUCCUUUCCUUUUUCUUUUUUUCUGUUUCUUUUUUUCUUUUCUUCUUCCCGAAGCUUCCUUUCCUCUCUUCUUUUCUUCCUCUUACCUUCCCCCUCUUCUCCUGUGAACACAAGGGGAGGAAGAUCCCAAGCCGGGGUGCUUGGGAGAAGAACUCACGACGGAGAGGGAGCUCAGGAGGGGAAUGUGUUAGAUGUAUGCCCUAUAAGCCAAUCUAGCUGACACAUAAUUUAUUCUGAAAUAUAUUUUUAUACUUGACUUUAUUAUUAUUGAAUAAUAAAUGAGCAUCAUUUUUCAUUCAUAUUGUGUAUGUGUCUGUGAAUCAUCUAAGAAAUUAAUAAGAUGAUGAUGCAUAUUCUCAAGAGUUGAGAAUUUGAACCAUGUAUCAUUGAUAAUUAAUUCCUAAAAACUCUUGAUCGAUGGAUCAUUACGAGGACAGUGAUUGAUCCGAUGAGAUUAGUGCACAGAUCACUAUCCUUUUAGAUGGACGAGUCUCGAGUUCACAGCGUAGAAACACUGGAGUGAUAGUGCAGGUGCUUGUUAGAGAACAAGGGUACCGAGCAUGAUCAAAGCAAAAAGUCACUUGGAUGUUUAUCCACUUGUCAGUGAUUUACUUGAUGUUGCAGUAGUAUAACUGAUUUUUUGACCUACGGUGCUUCGACUAUUCCUAGUGAGGUUGUUGUAGUUUGACUGUAUAUAUACAUGGUCUCUAGCGAUAUGGAUUCUUAUGGUACAGAUUGGCUGCAGUAGGUUCACUGUAGAAAUAGGGUGUGCACUUACAUAAAAUUUAUCGACCUUGGUAGAUAAGAAGUGGUCCUAUGUGAUUUAUGAGACUGAGUUCGUAAGACCUUGGCAAGAGCAGUAUGUAAAGUGGAAAAGAAGUUUUCCACUCUCGAACUAAAGUCGAAUAAAUCUUGACAUAUGACAGACGAUGGAAUUUGACGAGUUAUCCAUGACCUCCAUUUUGUAGGGAUCCACGAUAGUAGGACUGUAUCAUACGAUAACUGCACCUAGAGAUUCAUCUAUUCCAUUCUGCUGGGUUGCCACUACAUGUUACUAGGUGUCACUAGUGGAUGGUGAGACUCACAGAGAUUAUCUUGAUAGUCGAUGAUCCUUGAUGAAAUGAGUUGGAAUUGUUCCAACCAAUUAAAAAAAGUUUUCAAUGAUAUUGUAAUAGAGAUCACAAUAUAUCUCACUACCAGACAGAAUAGAACCUAUGGGGUCACACACAUUAGAGGUAUUGACUGAUCUGAUGGUUGGAUUAUGAUUUGGAAUCAUAAUAGUUCAAGAUUAUCAAUUUGAUUGAUAAUUGGUUUAACCCACUAAGAGUUAGUGAGUUGAAGAAGAAAUAAUUGCAAUUGGAUUGCAAUUUGAUUGAAUCAAUUGGACUUAAUUAAUUGGGCUUGAUCUUAUUAGAUAAGGUUCAAGACUCCUACUUGGAGUAGGACUCCUAGAGUCCUAAUUAGAUUAAGACUGCAAAUUAUUAGAGUCCUACUUGGAGUAGGACUUC
rnacentral:lncRNA from 1 species